UACGUUUUUCUUUUUAAUUUGAAACAAAGGCACUUCAAUAUUAUGUUCAACAAUGAGACACUAUAUAAGUUGAGACUCAAUACAGUGAUGAUCAGAAAAAAAAAAUUUACAGUUUUUGGGGACUGAAUGGAACAGAGGGGAAGAUGAGUUAUCAUCUCCUGGUAAGCACGUUCAUCCUUCUCAGUCAACUGAAAAAUCCCAUCAAGCACAAGAACUUUCGCAUAUGUUAAUGGCUGUAAAAAGAAAAUAAGUGUUAAUCACUUCUAAAUUAUAGGUAGAAUUAAACAUAACAAUAUAGGAAGAUGUCAAACCUCAAAAUCCAAGACCUCUUGGUAUAAUGACUUUUCCUUGAACAAUAUCUUAUCCACUUCGACUGAAUGGGCUUUUCCUAAAGAUACACACACCAAAGCCAUCAGCAAUCGUCAUAUACUGAUGCACACAAAUUACAUAGUAGGCAACUAAAGUGAAAUCAUUUAUAGACGUGUAUUACCAUGACAUAUAGUUCAGAAAGGAGAAAAUAAGCUCCUGAACUUGUGAGUAAAUGGAAAAAUAGAUGUUUCUCUAAAAGGAUUAACAAAGAAGUUUGAUAUUAUACAUAUAAAUUGUGAAGAUAAAGAAUACAUAUGUUUAGAUAGAGCCUUCCUGAAACAAAACACACUUAAGUGGAAACAUGUUAUAUAAUCCAUGGGAUAAUUUACUUCAAUCCUCUUUAAUAGUGAACUUAAUCGCAUCGCAAACCUGAUAUAAUCGCAAAUCAAACCGUGGACCAAUUUCCUUCAAUUCUACAGAGUUAGGACCCUGUAUGACAGCAGACAAGGUGUUAUAAAUGAGAAGGAAAUGAGUAAAUACAACUAAUUGUGAAGAAGUCUUAAUGCAUAAAACAGAUAAAUGUAACCAAUCUGAACUCGAUAUAGUCCGAAUUGUUGGAAAAAGAGACUGUAUGUUUUACCUCAAGUUUUGGCACCGGAAACAGAUGCUUUAGAAUAUUGGAAGUUAGCAGUCAACCCUUAUCGGACAAUUUUAGUUUAAAAUAUUUCCACCGCAAACUGGACGGUAGCCGAGGAUUAAAGUUGCAGCAAUUGAAUUAACCAUUUUAACAAAAAUAUACCUCAAACCCUAAGCAAAUUGAAUCAAAAAUCAAAUUUUGAUUACAAUACAAGAGACCCUUCGAGGGUCACAGUGAAUUCCACAAAAGGAAAUACCCAUUUCACUAAGAAGAAACCUAUUAAACUAAAAUCCUAAUACUAAAUUUGAACCGCGAUUCCUGUCCAUAAACUAUAAUCUUGAAAAUGACACCAUCUUGGAAGCAAAACAACAACGAAAAACAGAGUUUUACCACAAAAUCGCAACUUUAUCGUCAAAUAAAUCCCCUUCAAUUAAAAAAAAAAAAAUCAAACUCAUCAAUCGAAUAACCAAAAUAAUUAGUUUAAAUUGUAAGAGAAUUAAUAAUAAUAAAAUUGAAAAAUGCAAAGAAAUUGGUAAAUAAGAGGUGGUAGUGUGUUCAUACAAGUGCUUCAUAAUUGACUUCCUCUUGAAAAGCAGAAGUUCUUACACCCUUGAAAUAAACACAUAUAUAGAGAGAAAUCAACAGCAGCAAAAAUUGGGAAUAACUAAAGUUUUAUUCAUCCGAGGAUUGAAAAUAACAACAAUUCCAACAUAAGGGUGAAAAUUGAACAAUAAAACUAGUGAGCAUCUCUUACUAAGGUAGAUCUAAAACAACAAAAGCUAUUUCUUUCAAUCAAAAAGUUGAAGCUAGAAAGUUAUGAUAAAGUAUAAUUAGGAAUUUGAUCAUUGAUGACAUGCCAAAGUAUUAGUCCUAAAAGAAAGAAAAAAAAACUUAAAAACAUAGGAAGAAUGUUAUUGUGAUUUAUCAAAGUAAUGUGUUAUAGCAGAAGGAUGAAACAAAUAAUGGUUGUUAGUUGUUACUGAGUGAUUCAGAAUGGUUUAAAGACAAGAAAUUAUGGUGAAUCUCAAGAAGGGUGAUUUAGCAACCCAACACACACACAAUCAGAUAGCGAAUAUCUUAGCGAAUGAGAGUUAACUAAUAGUGGACACUGGACACAAAUAGAUAUGAAUCAAACUCAUGAUCCUCUUUAGGAAGAUCAUAGUAACAUCUAAUUAUUAUGUAUAACAAGCUCAUGACACAAUUUUAUUUCUAUCUUUUAUCCAAUUCCUUAAAUUAAUCAACAAUGAAAUUAAACUCUUCAUACUAAUAAUGUAGAUCAUGUUACGGUUGAAGAGAAUGAUAUUUGCCUACAUAUUAGCAAAAAUAAAAAUGUAGAUCACAAGGAAAAAACAUUAAACUCUUCAUAAUAAUGUACCUCAUCCUACCAGUUCCAGUGGUCUUUCUACAGAUUGGCAACAAUCCAAUUACCUAAAAUCAUAAACCAAAUCAAAUAUUCAUUAACCAAAUAUAAACCCUAAUUUGAAAUCAAAUUGAGAAGUGAAUAAACUAAUUACACUUCUUGAUGCAAAUAAUAAGAAAAUUCCAAAGCUAACAAUUUUAAUACACAGCAAGACAAACACGAUGAUGCAUUCAGAAUAGUUUGUCAAAAAAAAAUUAUAGAAAAUUACCUUCUUAUUCUAAGUUUCAAUCUCUUCUUCUUUGUUGAUUCUUGUUCUUGCUUCAGCCAACCAUGUUCAUUGUUGCAUGAAUUAAGUAAACAAUUAGCGUUUUCGAUGGAUUCUAGGUUAGAAUGAGGGUUCGAUGGAUACUUACCUUCAAUGGGGAUUGAAACAGAAAAGGGAUUCAAAUGGAAAGUGAUUCAGCAACGAGAAAUGAAAAGCGAUUCGGCAACGAGAAACGAAACGCGGUUCAGGAUUUGACCGAAAGAGCUUAUUUGAUUGAAUAAAAAAAUGAGGGCCAUGAAGGAACUGAAAGAGAUUCUGGCCAUGAAGAAGCUAUUCAAACUUAUUUUGUUCAAAAAUCAGAGAAAUUAGAGAGAAGUGAAACGAGGGAAAGUGAAAAGGUGAAACGAGGGAAAAAGUGAAACUAGAGAGAAAAGAAAUGAGGGAAAGUGAAAAUAGUGAAUAUGGUAAUACAAAAUUAAAAUAUUAUUAAUAUAUAUCAUUUUAACAAAAUAUUUUAACACUAUUUGAUUGGUAGAUUAUUUAAUUACAAAUUUUAACCAAGAGGCCAUUUGUUCGAUUCCUAUUGUAGUAAAAAAAAAUCUUCUUCGAAAAUAUGCAAAUUAAAUAGAGUUGGAUUAUAAAUAAAUAACACAUAAACAAAUAAAAUAUAUUUAUGAAUAGAUAGAGUCGGUGCAACCGACGCUACGAUUACUUGCAAUAUUUUUGUUAUAAAGGCUUUUAGCGUAGGUUUGGCCGACUCUAAUAGCGACGAUGUAUUGUCCUAUUUACUCUGGACUUUUUCAUUGUCAUUUUCUCAAGGUUAACCGUCCACAUUCCCAAUUUGUCUCCUUCAAGAAUCUUGAUAAAUCCCUCACAUGCAAGAUACUCAAAGAAGUUGUUGUUCCAAGUUAUGUAAUUGUCCCCAAUUUUGUCUAAAAUUUUGAAUUGAUACUUAAUGUCGGACAUGAUUAUAUCUAAUAGUAGUAAACACUUCUGAUAUAAACGACCGUGUUGAUAACAUGUUGAGAAACUCAUAUAUUUGAAUAUUUCUUUUUCGAUAUUUCUGAACUAAUAGGAUGAUAUAAUUACUACUUUAGGAUAUGUCAAACUAAUUAAAUAAAGAGAAAAGAAAAUAUGAUGAUACUCAAAGAAGUUGUUGUUCCAAGAUACUCAAAGAAGUUGUUGUUCCAAGGUAUGUAGUUGUCCCCAAUUUUGUCUAAAAUUUUAAAUUGAUAUUUAAUGUCGGACAUGAUUAUAUCUAAUAGUAGUAAACACUUCUGAUAUAAACGAUCAUGUUGAUAAUAUGUUGAGAAAAUCAUACAUUUGAAUAUUUCUUUUACGAUAUUUCUGAACUAAUAAGAUGAUAUAAUUACUACUUUAGGGUAUAUCAAACUAAUUAAAUAAAGAGAAAAGAAAAUAUGAUAAUAUCUCUUAGAUUUCUCAAAGAAAAUGGCGAAUCUUUACAUAAACUAAAUAAGAGUAUUUAUACUACUAGAAUUACAAUUAUUACAUAAAUAUAAUAAUUUAUAUUACUAUUCUAAGUUGAUAUUAUAAAUUGAACAUUACUAUUUUAAGUUCACAUUAUGAUAGAUAAUUCAUAUUCCUAUUUUAGGUUAACAUUAUGAAAAUUUUACUUCAUACCCCUACGUUUAGUCUCAUAUCCCUACAAUUUUUUUAAAUUACCAAUUUUAUCCUUAAUUGGUUUUAACCAAUUUACCAUUUCAUUUUUACCAUUCAGUUAAAAAUUCUAAAAAUUACACAUUCCACCCUCGCACCGGAACUCCUGGAAAAAGACUUCCCGUAUGUAUUUUUUCCAAACCGGAAGACUUCACAAAAGACAUCCGGAACACACCAAGUAGUAAACCGGAGGACUUCACGAAAGAGUUCCGGUUCUUUAUUAAAAAAGACAUGUUCCGGAACACUUAUUGAAAGAGUUCCGGUAAACAAAAUGACACGUACCGGAACUCUUUGAAGAAGUCUUCUGGUUUGUGUUUUAUGUAUUCCGGAACUCUUUUUUGAAGACUUCCGGUAUGCAAUUUUUUUUUAAAUUUUUUUAAAUUUUUUUUAUUGUGCGGGAAUGAAAAAUCUUCCUCAAAUAUGUGUAGAUACUUCUGAUGCGUUUAUAACGACUGAAAGAUUUGGUACACGAGAAGAGGUGAUCAGAUGGAUUAAAGAGGUUGGAAUCGAUAAUAAAGUAACUGUUAUUAUCAGUCGUUACUGAAACAGGGAAGAAAAGGAGAAGUAACAAAUUAAUAUUUGAUUGUGAUAAAGGGGAAACACAAGAGACUGAUAGUGGAACCCAAAGUGCGUCCAAGAAAUGUGGAUGCCCAUUUAAAAUCAGGUCGACUCCGGCGAAAGAUGGAUCUGGUUGGAAGAUUGAUGUAAAAUGUGGGUUACAUAAUCAUGGAUUAAUCAAGUGCUACAUUUGGGUAACACAACAACUAAUCGUUACGUGUUAUAAUUUUUUAUGUGUUAUUUUUAUAUGUGAUAUUUUUUUUAUGUGUUAUUUUCAAUAUUUUUAGGGUUGAAUAUGCUCAUUGGAAGUUAAAGCAGAUGUUAGGAAAUAGUAUAGGUGACAUGGUCAAAUGUUGGGAAGCUAUAAAUAACAACUUGAGGUUACAACUGGGAAACAUUAGAGCUUCUUUUCAAAAGAGUUUUUACGAAGUUGAGCACGCGCACAUAAGUCCCUUUUAUGGUUAUUUGCGUGGUUCCAUAUCUCGAGCUGCUUUGAGACGUAUUGAUGAAGAGUUAUUGAGAGUUGAUUAUGUUGGAACUAACAGGCAAAUAUGUGGUUGUACUCUUAGAACAUCUUAUGGGUUACCUUGUGCUUAUGAGUUAGAAAGAUACGCACUAGGUGGUAUACCGAUACCCAUAGAUGUUGUUCAUGUUCAUUGGAGGAAACUAACUAUGGAAGUUGAGUUAGAGGUAGGUGCAGAUGAUGGAUUAGAGGUGGAUAUGACUUGUGCAAUGGAUGAAUUAUGGAAACGAUUUAGGUCAUUAGAUGUUAUUGGGAAAAGGGCAUUAAAGAGUAGGGUGUGUGAACUAGUAUACCCAACAAUGACUUCAUUGUGUCCACCACCUGAGAAACUAAAAACCAAAUGAGGGAUGAAGAAAAAAGGGAAAAAACCAGCAGAAUGUGAUGUUUAUAUGGACCCUUCGUAUCAUGAGUAUGUUGAUAAGGCAUCUCAAUCUUCACAAAGGCAAUCUCAACCAUCACAGACUUCGAAGAAGUUAAAAUUAUCAAAGAAGAAACCACAAUUCACUCUUCAAUUUCCUAAUCAUAUUAGCUCAUACAUUGAAGAUGUAGUUAAUGUUGAAACAGAUGAUAAUUGUGGAUUUAGAGUCAUUGCACCAUUGCAUGGAUAUGGUGAGGAUGGUUGGUCAAUGGUUCGUAGAGAGUUGGGGUUGGAAAUAAUAGACAAGGAUAGGUCAACUUUGUAUGACAAGUUAUUUUCUAAUCGGUUGUCAAAAGUGAGAGAAUAUUUGAUGAUAGAAUCCUUUGGUUCACAGUCACCUGAAAAAUGGUUGACUCUACCAGAUAUGGGUUACUUGAUAGCGAAUCGCUAUAAUGUUGUACUUGUCUAUUUAGGCAAUCCGUGCAUGACUUUCUUUCUUAUGACAAGUUCACAUUCACCAAAUGUCUCUAUUUAUUGCAUUGGUUUUGUUAACCAAAAUCAUUGGGUUUAGGUACGUAUUUUGUAUGACUUAAUAUUUUAAUUAUUUCACUUAAUAUUUUAUAUGACUUAAUAUUUUAAUUAUUUCACUUUAUCAUGUUAACAUGAAAGAGGGGUUUUCGUUGUCACCGGUCACAUUAGAUUGGAAUAAAUCGUAUAACCACUCCAACUUAUAAUACGAACCCUUGCAGCUACGAACAUGUGAUUGUGCCUCACCCUAUGACACUCCUAAGUAGUCAACAGCAAGUUCAACAGCUACCUCUUCCGUGACAUCCUGAGGACUCCAGAAGACACCUCUGAUGGGCAAGUGAAGUAGACAUGAGACGUCAUCUAGAGUAAUGCUCAUUUCACCAAACGACAUGUGAAAUGAAGAUGUCUCUAUAUGCCAUAUUUCCACAAAUGCAGACACAAGAUUUGUGUCUAUCUUGUUCAGACUAGUUCUCUGAAGUGAAGAUAAACCAGAUCUAUAUACCCAACUCUCCACCUGUUGUGGAAGAGCUAGUGGAAUCCUAGAUGUCAACUUUAGUCCAUGUCCAGCAACCUUUAACUCUUUCUCUGGACUUCUUUCCUAAAAACAAUUAAAACAUGAAAUUCUGGUAUCAGAUAUAAGAUGUCGAAGGUAAUGUCACGACACUAAUAUCUGUUAACACACAAUGGAAAAAAAUACAUAAUGGUAAAGCAAAUAACACAAGCAAUUGUUAACCCAAUUCGGUGCAACUCACCUACGUUUGGGGGCUACCAAGCCAGGAAGGAAAUUCACUAAAAUAGAAUUAGUUUAAAGACUCUCCGUACACUUCAACAAGUUACAGUCUUUCUCACCUAAUCUCUACCCGUGCAAUUUCUACCUAAGCACUCUAACUUCAACAAGUUACAGUCUUUCUCACCUAAUCUCUACCCGUGCAAUUUCUACCUAAGCACUCUUAGAUAUGAGAACCCACUCACUUCCCUACAAUCACACACCAGUGAUUUUAAACAACAAUCCUUGUGAAAAGAAAAUACUUUUCAAUUACACACUCUUGAUUUUACUUCACAGUUUCAAUCAAGAAGACACACUCUUGAUCUUGCUUCACAACUUUGAUCAAGAAGACACGCACUCCUGCUUAACAGCUUUAGUGUGACAAGUUACAAUCACAAAUCAGUCCAAUUCAAUCAUCAAUGGAUGACUUGAAUGACCUACAAGUCUUACGACUAAACAAACACAAACCCUAGCUCUCUCUCUAUAUUUCGCUUAGUAUUGGUUGUGUGUUCAAACAGGUUUUCUAAGUCCCUUUUUAUAAAAGCUUUCAGCUGGGCUUGAACAUUUUGAAAACCCUAAAUCUAUUUUCCAAUCAAAUCUUUUUAUAACAGCUGGUUAGAUCUCCUUGGAAAAUAAGUAAAUCUGGUUGUAAUCCAUGAUUGAAUGCGUCAGCUAAUCAUAUCUUCAAUCAUACAAAGAUUGCCAUUAAUUGUGCAAUCACAAAACACCAGACAUUCAUAGCUUGACACUCUCGACUUAACAGGAUGUCAUGACAUCGGGUCUGAGAUCCAGCCGAAAAAAUCCUACAUAAUCCAAUAAUGUCUGAUAUAACUAUUCACAGGUACACCUCCAUAUCAGAUUGCCCAUGACCUUGUGUAUGUCACUCUGGAAACAAUCCUGCAUGAACGAUGCUCUUCAUUUAAGACCAGCAGGUCACAUCCAAUAUCAAAAGCCGUCUCAUUGUAUGUGGCAUUCUGAAAACAACUCCUGCAUUGAACAUGUUCUUGAACUCCAGCACAGUACAUAGGAAAUUCUUAUGUUAAAGGACCAUCACCACAUUAACAUUCUUGUGAAAAACAACUCUGUUUUUACCAAAAUAUGUUGCCAACACUUAGAAUCAACAAACUCCCCCUUUGGCAAAUUUUGGCUAAAACAUAUAUCUGUCCUUUUUGUUCACAAGGUAAACUAUCAGCAGUUAAACAACUUAACAGUAGUUUAAUCAGCAGUAGAAGCAAAAAUAAUUACUAGCUAUGGCUACUAGUAAGACACACAUGCACAAGGGUACUUCUCCUCCCCCUAAAUCUGUGUAAAAAACAGAAUUACUAGUUAUGGAUGCAACUAGUAAGACACACAAAUGCACAGGGGUACUCCUUCUCCCCUUAAAUCUGUGCACACAACAAACAGCCUCCAUGAACAUAACAGCUAUUGUAACUCUAGCACAUGUACCAGCACUACCUGUGCACCAUAUCAGCAUUACUUGUGCACCAUAUCAGACAUCCUCUUUGACAUUUGUAAACAGAAUAACAUUCUGUUUUAACACCUGUGCACUUCAUCUCACAACUUCCACAACAACUUCCAUAUCAGCUUCCAUAUCAGCAUUUCUCCCCCUUUUUAGUCAAAAUUGACCAAAGGUGACCUUUUUCAAAAUAAAUAAAACUUCAAUCUUUCAGACAUCAGCAUCAGAUUAGCUUCCAGCCACACAGUCUAGUCCUUGCCACAACACAGUUUACCCAGUCAAAAAUAUCCUCUAGGAUAACGACAAACUCUUUUACUUGCUAUAGGUUCUCAUGAACACAGAUCCCCAACUUCCCCCUUAAACAUUCAAAUUGAUUGGCAUCCAAAGCUUUAGUGAAAAUGUCUGUUAGUUACUUUUCAGUAGUAACAUGCUCCAUAGUUAUGAUCUUCUCUUCUACAAGUUCUCUGAUGAAGUGAUGACGAAUGUCAAUGUGCUUUGUCCUGCUAUGUUGAAUAGGAUUUUUGGAAAUAUUUAUGGCACUCAGGUUAUCACAGUAUAAUGUCAUGACUUCUUGUGUGACAUUGUAUUCAGACAACAUCUGCUUCAUCCAGACCAGUUGAGAACAACUACUCCCAGCUGCUAUGUAUUCAACUUCAGCAGUGGAUAGAGAUACACAGUUUUGUUUCUUGCUAAACCAUGAAAUCAGAUUGUUCCCCAAAAAGAAGCAUCCCUCAGAUGUGCUUUUCCUAUCAUCAGCACUUCCAGCCCAGUCAGCAUCACAGUAACCAGUCAACAUGGAUCCAGAUCCAUGAGUAUACAACAUCCCAUAGUCACUGGUGCCAUUGACAUAUUUCAGUAUUCUCUUCACUUGGUUUAUGUGACUGACUUUUGGUUCAGCUUGAUANNNNNNNNNNNNNNNNNNNNNNNNNNNNNNNNNNNNNNNNNNNNNNNNNNNNNNNNNNNNNNNNNNNNNNNNNNNNNNNNNNNNNNNNNNNNNNNNNNNNNNNNNNNNNNNNNNNNNNNNNNNNNNNNNNNNNNNNNNNNNNNNNNNNNNNNNNNNNNNNNNNNNNNNNNNNNNNNNNNNNNNNNNNNNNNNNNNNNNNNNNNNNNNNNNNNNNNNNNNNNNNNNNNNNNNNNNNNNNNNNNNNNNNNNNNNNNNNNNNNNNNNNNNNNNNNNNNNNNNNNNNNNNNNNNNNNNNNNNNNNNNNNNNNNNNNNNNNNNNNNNNNNNNNNNNNNNNNNNNNNNNNNNNNNNNNNNNNNNNNNNNNNNNNNNNNNNNNNNNNNNNNNNNNNNNNNNNNNNNNNNNNNNNNNNNNNNNNNNNNNNNNNNNNNNNNNNNNNNNNNNNNNNNNNNNNNNNNNNNNNNNNNNNNNNNNNNNNNNNNNNNNNNNNNNNNNNNNNNNNNNNNNNNNNNNNNNNNNNNNNNNNNNNNNNNNNNNNNNNNNNNNNNNNNNNNNNNNNNNNNNNNNNNNNNNNNNNNNNNNNNNNNNNNNNNNNNNNNNNNNNNNNNNNNNNNNNNNNNNNNNNNNNNNNNNNNNNNNNNNNNNNNNNNNNNNNNNNNNNNNNNNNNNNNNNNNNNNNNNNNNNNNNNNNNNNNNNNNNNNNNNNNNNNNNNNNNNNNNNNNNNNNNNNNNNNNNNNNNNNNNNNNNNNNNNNNNNNNNNNNNNNNNNNNNNNNNNNNNNNNNNNNNNNNNNNNNNNNNNNNNNNNNNNNNNNNNNNNNNNNNNNNNNNNNNNNNNNNNNNNNNNNNNNNNNNNNNNNNNNNNNNNNNNNNNNNNNNNNNNNNNNNNNNNNNNNNNNNNNNNNNNNNNNNNNNNNNNNNNNNNNNNNNNNNNNNNNNNNNNNNNNNNNNNNNNNNNNNNNNNNNNNNNNNNNNNNNNNNNNNNNNNNNNNNNNNNNNNNNNNNNNNNNNNNNNNNNNNNNNNNNNNNNNNNNNNCAAGAAAGUAGGUCAGUUCUCCAACAAGGCUCAUCUCAAACUCAGAUUGCAUUUGUCUAACAAAAUGUUCAACCAUCUAUUCUGACAUCCCACCAAAAACAAUGUCAUCUACAUAUAUUUGUGCCACCAUGAGCUUUCCUCCUUCAUUCUUCACAAACAGAGUUUUGUCAAUCCCUCAUUUCUUGUAUCCAUUGUCAGUGAGGAACACUGUGAGUCUCUCAUACCAAGCCCUAGGAGCUUGCUUCAACCCAUAUAGGGCUUUCUUUAAUUUGUACACAUGUUGUGGAAGAUUUGGAUCUGUGAAUCCUUUAGGCUGUUCAACAUAUACUUCUUCAUUUAAGUAGCCAUUCAAGAAGGCAUUUUUUACAUCCAUUUGAAACAGCUUGAAUUUCAGAAUGCAUACCACUCCAAGCAAUAGUCUAAUGGACUCAAGGAGAGCUACAGGAGCAAAUGUUUCAUCAAAGUCUACUCCUUCAACUUGAGUAUAUCCUUGAGCUACUAAUCUAGCUUUGUUUUUUGUAACAACCCCUUGUUCAUUAGAUUUAUUCUUAUAUACCCACUUUGUUCCUAUGAUAUUUACUCCUUCAGGUCUAGGAACCAAUUCCCAUACUUCAUUCCUCUUGAAUUUGCCUAACUCCUCUUGCAUUGCAUUGAUCCAUAACUCAUCAGUCAAGGCUUCCUUGAUAUUUAUGGGUUCAAUCUUUGACACAAAGCAGCCAUGUGAGAUCACUUCCCUUGAUCUAGUAGUGACUCCUUUAUCUGGAUCUCCUAUGAUAAGAUCUUUGGGAUGAUCAUUCUGAAUUCUGAUAGAGGGUCCCUUGUUGAUUUUGUCAUCUUCAGGUUCAGCUUGAGGAGGUUCUUCUUCCUUAUUUUUGUCUGAGAGGUCAACUGGAGAAUCAUUCAGAGAUGUCUCAACAUCGUCUGUGACAUUCGUUUGUUGGUCAUCAACCACAACAUUAAUGGAUUCCAUCAAUACAUUAGUUAUGGAAUUAAAGACCCUGUAAGCUCUGCUGUUUGUUGAAUAGCCCAGAAAUAUUCCUUCAUCACUUUUGGGAUCCAUCUUCCUUCUUUGCUCACGAUCAACCAGGAUAUAGCAUUUGCUACCAAAUACAUGGAAAUAUUUGACUGUGGGUUUUCUUCCUUUCCAGACUUCAUAAAGGGUUGUGGGAGUUCCUUUCUUUAGUGUCACUCUGUUGUGAACAUAGCAGGUUGUGUUCAUGGCUUCAGCCCAAAAAUGAUAGGGCAAUUUCUUAGCAUGAAUCAUAGCUCUGGUUUAUUCUUGAAGAGUCCUAUUUUUCCUUUCCACCAUACCAUUUUGCUGGGGAGUGAUGGGAGAUGAGAACUCAUGAUGAAUUCCUUCUGAAGAGAAGAAAUCAGCAAAUUUGCUGUUCUCAAACUCCUUCCCAUGAUCACUUCUAAUUCUGACAACAGGACUUUCUUUUUCCCUUUGAAGUUUCAAACAAAGCUUCUUAAAGACUUCAAAUACAUCAGAUUUUUCUCUUAUAAAAUUGAUCCAGGUGUAUCUGGAGAAAUCAUCCACCACCACAUAUGCAUAUUUCUUCCCACCAAGGCUUUCUACUUGCAUGGGUCCCAUCAAGUCCAUAUGAAGUAGUUCCAGGACUUUGGUAGUUGUGUCAUGUCUAAACCUCUGGUGUGACAUUCUUGUUUGUUUUCCAAUUUGACAUUCUCCACAGAUUUUUCCCUCAUCAAUCUUUAAGUUGGGAAUUCCUCUAACAGCUUCAACUGAUAUGAUCCUUUUCAUACCUUUAAGGUGCAGAUGGCCCAAUCUUUGAUGCCAUAUCUUCACUUCUUCUUCUUUGGCUAAGGUACACAUUGAAGAGUAUCCAGUUUCUUGAGAGCUCCACAUGUAGCAGUUGUCUUUGGACCUAACUCCCUUCAUGAUUACUUUAUUUUCUUUGUUAGUAAUCAGACAUUCAGUUUUGGUGAAGUUUACAUUCAGACCUUGAUCACACAGUUGACUGAUGCUUAUAAGAUUAGCAGUUAAUCCCUUAACAAGUAGGACAUCAUCAAGGUCAGGAACUCCAGGGCAAUCCAGCCUACCCAUUCCCUUGAUUUCACCCUUUGCACCAUCACCAAAGGUAACAUAACUCAUGGCAUGAGGAUGAAGUUCAGUUAGCAGAUUUUUGUUCCCAGUCAUAUGUCUGGAGCAACCACUGUCAAAAUACCAAUCUUCUUUGGCUGAAACUCUAAGGGAAGUGUGUGCUUUUAGACUUGUGACCUUUGUCUUAGGAGCCCAUUGCUUUUUGUUGACAUUCUUGUGAUGCUUGGACCUUGAUUGGUAUUGAGACUGAACAGGGCCAGGAUAGCCACAUAGCUUAUAGCAGAAGGGCUUUAGGUGGCCAAAUUUUCCACAGUAUUGGCAUUUCCAUCUUUGAUGUUUCCCUUUUUGCUGUUGUGACAUCUCAGGUUUACUUUUAACAUGGUUGCACUUAGGUUUGGAUUUUGGUUUGCAACCAGUGUAACUGCACUCAGCCUUGAAUCCAAUACCAGAUUUGUUUCCUGUUAUUUGGCUAGUCUGGAGAAUCUUGUCUAAGAUGGCAGAUCCAUUGUUAAGCAUUCUUACAUACUUAGUCAUCUCAUCUAGUUUGGAAUUCAAGAAUACAACUUCCACCUUCAAUUUUGAGAUGGUUUCCACAAGCUCUUCCUUUUCAUUUUCCAGCUGAGCUAUCACUUUCUUCUGGCUUUCAACUUGUCUGCACACUCCUGCACUUCUGUGGCACAACUCUUUAAGGGUUCUUUCAUCAUCAAUUGACUCUUCCUCAGACCCCCAUCUUCCUGUCAGUGCAGUCACAUGGUUUGUAGCUUCUUCUGUUUCACUUCCAUCAGACCAAGAGUCCAAAAGACUCCUCUUUUGUUUCUUGAGGUAGGUCCCACAUUCAGUUUUAAUAUGACCAUACCCAUUACACUCAUAGCACUGAACUUCUUUGGGCUUUUCUUCAGACUUUGGUUUCUUACCAAAGCUGUUGGAUUUACUGAUGUCAGAUGUGAUGUUCUUGACAUUUCCCUUUGCUCUCACAUCUACCUUUUUUAUCAGUCUGUUGAACUGUCUUCCCAGCAUUGCUAUCUCAUUUGCCAGGUCUUCAUCAAUAUCUUGACCACCUUCCUCAUCUUCCUCUUCAGUGUUUGACAUAAAUGCUAUGCUCUUGGCUUUCUUUUCAGCUCCAUCACAUAUUCCCAUCUCAAAUGUUUGGAGGGAUCCAAUUAGCUCAUCAACUCUCAUAUUUGAGAUGUCUUGAGAUUCUUCUAUGGCUGUUACUUUCAUAGCAAAUCUCUUGGGGAGUGAUCUGAGUAUUUUUCUUACUAACUUUUCAUCUGACAUCUUCUCACCCAAAGCUCCAGAGGCAUUGGCAAUUUCAAGGAUACUCAUGUAGAAUUCAUGAAUAUUUUCAUCUUCUUUCAUCCUUAAGUUUUCAAACUUGGUGGUGAGCAGCUGUAGUCUAGACAUUUUCACUCUAGAGGUGCCUUCAUGAGUGGUUUUGAGAAUGUCCCAAGCAUCUUUAGCUACUUCACAGUUGUUUACUAAUCUGAAGAUGUUCUUGUCCACUCCAUUGAAGAUGGCAUUCAAUGCUUUAGAAUUUCCAAGGGCUAGGUCGUCCUCCUCCUUGGACCAUUGUUCUUCAGGCUUUUUCUCAGCAGUGGCUUCUCCUUCUUUAGUAACUACAGGGUGCACCCAGCCUGUCAACACAGCCUUCCAAGCCUUGUUAUCAAGAGAUUUUAGAAAGGCUACCAUUCGAGGUUUCCAAUAGUCAUAGUUAGAACCAUCCAAAAUUGGUGGCCUAUGAACAGAUCCUCCAUCUCUCUCCAUUGUACCAGAAAGUAUUGCCCCUAGAUCUCACCCAGAACCAGAGCAGGAUGCCUGCUCUGAUACCAAUUGAAAUUCUGGUAUCAGAUAUAAGAUGUCGAAGGUAAUGUCACGACACUAAUAUCUGUUAACACACAAUGGAUAAAAAAUACAGAAUGGUAAAGCAAAUAACACAAGCAAUUGUUAACCCAGUUCGGUGCAACUCACCUACGUCUGGGGGCUACCAAGCCAGGAAGGAAAUUCACUAAAAUAGAAUUAGUUCAAAGACUCUCCGUACACUUCAACAAGUUACAGUCUUUCUCACCUAAUCUCUACCCGUGCAAUUUCUACCUAAGCACUCUUAGAUAUGAGAACCCACUCACUUCCCUACAAUCACACACCAGUGAUUUUAAACAACAAUCCCUUGUGAAAAGAAAAUACUUUUCAAUUACACACUCUUGAUUUUACUUCACAGUUUCAAUCAAGAAGACACACUCUUGAUCUUGCUUCACAGCUUUGAUCAAGAAGACACACACUCUUGCUUAACAGCUUUAGAGUGACAAAUUACAACCACAAAUCAGUCCAAUUCAAUCAUCAAUGGAUGACUUGAAUGACCUACAAGUCUCACGACUAAACAGACACAAACCCUAGCUCUCUCUCUCUAUAUCGCUCAGUCUUGGUUGUGUGUACAAACAGGUUUUCUAAGUCCCUUUUUAUAGAAGCUCUCAGCUAGGCUUGGACAUCUUGAAAACCCUAAAUCUAUUUUCUAAUCAAAUCUUUUUAUAACAGCUGGUUAGAUCUCCUUGGAAAAUAAGUAAAUCUGGUUGUAAUCCAUGAUUGAAUGCGCCAGCUAAUCAUAUCUUCAAUCAUACAAAGAUUGACAUUAAUUGUGCAAUCACAAAACACCAGACAUUCAUACUGACUGUUCUGUGUACAGGAUAUCGUGACAUCGGGCCUGACAUCCUGGAAAAAUCCUGCAUAAUCCAAUAAUUCCCUUUAUAAUUUCCAGCAGGUACAGCCAUAUCAGAUGCCAUGAUCUUAUGUAUGUCAUCUGAAAUAAUCCUGCAUAAACAUGUCUUUCAUUUAACAUCCAACAGGUACAUCCAAUAUCAUAAGCCUUGUCAUUGUAUGUGGCAUUCUGAAACAAUCCUGCAUGAACAUGUUCUUGAACUCCAGCAGGUACAUAGGAUAUCUUAUGUUAAGACAUCACACAUAACAUCUUGUGAACACUCUUUGUUUUAUUGUCAUUGUAUGUGGCAUUCUGAAACAAUCCUGCAUGAACAUGUUCUUGAACUCCAGCAGGUACAUAGGAUAUCUUAUGUUAAGACAUCACACAUAACAUCUUGUGAACACUCUUUGUUUUACCAAUAUUGCUGUCAACACUUAGAAUCAACAAAACACAUAUUAGAAAACACAAUAUAAAAUAUUCAAAUAUUAUUCAUUUUCAAAUAUAUCCCAUUUAUUUACCUCACCAAACCAUAAAUGGCGAGCAACAUGAUGCUCGUACUUCACCAAAAGAGACGUAUCGUACGGCCCUCCUGGAUAUCCAGCCGGCUCUGCUGCAGAUGAAGAUGCGUCCCGGCCUAAACUGCGGUCUGGAAUCCUACCAUCUGCACCUCGUAUUCGAACCACUACAAAAAAAUAUUAUAGCAAAAUAAUUAAAAAUUAUAAAAAUUAUAAAAAUUAUAUAAAAAAAAAGCACCAUAACACUUCAAAGAAGAGUUCCGGUGUGUAGAAAAACAAGGUUGACUACCAGAAUACUUCUUAAAAGAGUUCCAGUUUAGUUCAUCCAAACCGGAAGUCUUUAAGAAAGAGUUUUGGUACACAGUCAAUCAAACCGGAAGACUUUCUAAAAGAUUUCCGGUUCAGUGUCCCAAAAAUGCAGCGAACCGGAAGACUUUGGAUAAGCCUUCCGAUAUACAAUUUGUGAACCGGAAGACUUACUCUUAGUGUUUCGGUUUACAAUGCCAAAAUUUCUUUUCUGGAAAAUAGAAAAAACUUCAAUUUCUGAAAAAUAUAUCAUAUUUAUAUGAGAGUAUUUUGGUCAAAAAAAUUAUUUGUAGAAAUAUGGAUCCAAUUGUAGGGGUACGAGAUAAAGUUUUUUAGCAUUUUAUAUACAUAUUAUACAUAUGUUAUUUAAUCAAUUGCUCCAUUGCGGUGUUCUAAAAUGGAAAUACAUACGUUCUUGGUUUUAUUGGACUUUUGACUGAACAGAAUAUCAGCAUACAAUUUGCCUAAAUUUUGGCUUUUGAAAAUAUCUAAAGCAUACCAAAUAAUGUGUUUUUAUCAUAUACCUAAGACCAUACAAUUGGGUGAAUUUAAAUUGUAGUUGUUCAAUUAAUCAAUCUUAACUUUAUAACACGUCUAGUUCAUUUAAAAGCUAAAAUCAAUCAUAUGUCAAUAUUAUGAUGCAAUUUAUCUUUUGAACAUUAUCAUGUCUUAUGAAAUCAUUCAAAAACUAAAUUCAAUCUUAUCCCAAAGUUGUGUGCCCCUCACAGCAAUGGAUUCAUUAUUGAAUUUAGUUGUUUUAGUUUUUCUUUGAAAAUGAAAGACACUGCAUUUUAAAAGGAAUUUAAUAUAGGAUGAAUUAAAAUGAAACUAGGGUAUAGGAGGUUAUAUGUAAAAUUAGAAAGAAUGAAUUAAAAUGUGAUAAAAUAAUAUUUUAGUUAUAUUAGACUUUCAAAUCUAUUUUACUAACCAUAUAUUCUUUUUGGUUACUAUUAAUAUAAAAGAAUAUUUUAUUUUAAAUUUUUAACAAUUAAUAUAUUUUCCUACUGUUAUUUACAAAUUUUAAAAAAUUAUCUAAUAACUUUAAAAUAUUAUGGUGAUAUAUAAAUACAUAAAGCUCGAGAGUUCUCUCUCUAAAGUCCAUUUCCUCUGUCUUCUUUCUAAACACAUCAACACCCUCUUCUCCCUAAAUCCAAAUUCGAGGUAUCCAUGUGUAGUUUUUACUUGUGGUGAUGCGGAGCCGCUCAUGCCGUUACACCCUCUCAGGGUUGUUUCAGUGGUUCUCUGAAACUCCUUCCUGUUUUGAAGGUUUGGCUCCUUCUACUAUGGCAAUUUGGUUCUGGUGACGAUUGGUCUGGCAAAUUAACACUCACUCCAAGCAGUUCGACAAUCGAUUACAUUAGAUUCCGAGUUGUUUUUUUGUUUCAAUGGUUGGUUUUUUCGACUAAGUACUCACCAGAUUUUGGUUUUUCGGUAGCAAAACAAUUCAUCGGCAGUUGAUUUGUGUUGCAACAAGGUCAUGAUACUCUCCUUGGUGACAAUUUUGAUGGUUGUGGCAGCUCCUUCUCCGGUGGGUCUCUUGCAAGUUUAUGUUUCUUGUGCAUGGUUGAUAGUUGGAGCUUUUGAUUCUCUGAUUGAUUUCAGACCUGUUGAGACCUCUAGGUUUCAAGAUCUAAGGUUUGUCUCCUCUGCGCUGACACUUACUUAAUAUUUGUAUCAAUCUUCGUGAUUGAUGUCAGGUUUAUUUCAUAUUUGUAUCAUUCUAUUUGAUGUUGGAUUGUUUGACUCGAAAAAGUCUUCUUACUUGUUGGGUUUUUCUUCAUAGGCAGUUGGUUCAUUCACCAUGUUGAAAAGUGAAUGCUCACACAUGACUCUUUGUUUUACUAUUUGGUUUCGUGUUUGUUAGCGGGUUCUUUGGAUAGUAUUGUCGUGUGUGUUAUUGCUUUAAUUAUUUUAAAAAGCGACUUUUGUUAUAUUUGAUAUAUAUAUAUAUAUAUAUAUAAUAUAUAUAUUAUAUAUAUAUAUAUAUAUAUAAUAUAUAUAUAUAUAUAUAUAUAUAUAUAUAUAUAUAUAUAUAUAUAAUAUAAUAUAAUAUAUAUAUAAUAUAAUAUAUAUAUAGUAUUAUAUAUAUAUAUAAUGAAAAUGAAGUAAGUACAUAAUACUGGGGAUUAUAUAUAGCUUAUUAAAAAAAUUAAUAUAUUUAUUUCAAAAUUUGAACUAUAUUAAUUCUUGUUAAACUAAUUUUCUCUUAACAAAAAUUAAAUGAUGGAACAAAAAGAAUUAUCAAUUCUAAGAAAAAGUUAUAAUAAAUUACAUUUGGUGCAAGACAAAAAAUCUAAACUGCAUAUUAUUAUUACAAAAAGUAUAUACAACAACGUCCAUGUUACCACAGUCUUUUGAAUGACAAUGGGGAUGUCUCUAAAUUCUUGCGCCAAUAUUUUUUUUUAUUAAAAGUUGUUAACUUAUUAUCAAGGUUGUUUAGAACAACUGUGGUAAUAUCCUAUACAUUUCAUAUGGGUUCGAAUCUCAGCGUCAACAAAUUCAUAAUUUAUUCAGUAUUUUAGUUGUGUCUUUCAUUUUUAUAUAUUUUUAGAUAAAAAAUAAAAGUGACAUCACUACGGUUGUUUAAUAUAACCGUUAUAAUAUAUUUUAAUUUUAAUUUUAAUCUUUAAAUGCUUAAAACUUGGCGCUUUUUUUUAUAAAGUUACAUUUAACUUUAAUUUUUAUAUGCUUAAAACCUAGCCUUUUUUUUAUAAAAUUACAUUAACGUAAACCAUAUAUCACCACGGUUGUUUAAUGCAACCGUUGUGAUAUAUUUUUCAAUUUUUUUAAAGUUUUUAAAUGCUUAAAACCUAGCACUUUUUUUUUAUAAAAUUUCAUUAAGUAAAUCAUAUAUCACCACAGUUGAUUUAGGUGGGCAUGAUGGAAUGACUUAUUCACUUAAAAGAAACAUAGUUAGCUAGUUAGCUUGUCUCUUCAGUUGCAUUUUUUUUUCAUUUUCAUUAACGAAACAACGUCAUUUUCAACCCUGGCGAAACAACGUCAUUUUCAACCCUAAGGAAACAACAACAUUUUUAACCCUAACGAAACAACAACAUUUUCAACCCUAAUGAAACAACAACAUUUUCGACCAACUUCAUUGUUCUUUGCUUACAAACCAUCGAUGAGGAAGACGGCAUCAACUUCAUCAUUAUUGGCUUAAACCGUUGAGGAGGAAGACAAAGAUUCUGACAAUAUUUUUUUACUUAUUCAUCAUGUUUUCGGUACGUAAACAUUUUCCCCCGUGCAUCUACAAUAAACUUCGUUUUCCAUUGUGUUUAUGUUUAUGUUGUUGGUGUUGAAAUAUUAUGUUAUUGUUUAUGUAGUUCUUAAUGUUGUUGUUUAUGACUUGAUGGUGUUGUUUAUGUUCUACUAGGUUUGAUGAUAUGAGCUUCUUCCUGUGUUUCUAAUAUAGAGAUUUGAAUUUUGAGGUUUCAUGAUAUGGGGUUCCAUUAUGUUUAUGUUCAUGUUCAUGUUGUUGAUGUUAAAAUAGUAUGUUGUUGUUUAUGUAGUUGUUGAUAUUAAUGUUUAUGAGUUGUACAUCUUGUUUUAUGUUAGAGUUUGAUAUUUUUAGAUUUUACCAUAAGUUGUGAGCUCCUUGUUAGCCUUCCAAAGACCUCAUUAAUUAUUUGCUCAUGUCUUGCUACAACUAUAUUGGUUUGUAUAACUUAAAUUUUGUUAUGUUGUUGCAAUUGGUGUAAUGAAAAAAUAGUAGACUAGAAGCACAAAACUUGUACCUAGACAUUGGUGUCAUAUGAGAUUUUAUGGCAUUCUUAUAUGCUUUACCAUAUGACAUUCAACAUAGAUUUUAUGAGUAGGCUUUCUAUGUUUUUCUAUGAUGAUAUGUGAUCAUAAAUACAUGCAUUGAUGUUGGUGUUGUUUAUGCCAUUGUGAUUGAUGUUUGUGUUUGUGUCUUGAUGUUGAAUGUUUUAUGUCUUGAUAGAUGGUCUCUUCUUCAUCUAGUAGCGAAAAAACUACUUAUACAAAUGAAAAUCAUACAAAUGAUUCUCAAUCUAUAGAUGGAUAAAAUAAAAUAAAAAAAGAGGUGCCACAAUGAAGGCUAAAUUAGCAAAAGUCCAGUAGUCGAGUGACAAAUUUAUGAUCGAGUUUAGUGUUGUUUAUACGAUACUUGAUAGUCCUCAUUUUGCGCUUUUUAAGAGUUAUGUUGCGUUCCUUAGACAUAGAAAAGUUGGUAUAUUGAUAAAUGAUUGGAAAGAAGCACCAACGGAGAUGAAAGAGAGCAUAUGGACAAACAUUAAGGUUUUAAUUUUAAUUUUCUUUGAUUCAAUAUUUUACUUUCUAUAAUUAUUAAUACAUAUCUAUUGAUUUAACUGUGUAAUUGAUGUUUGAGUUUUCCGAUGAUUCUAAGUUGAAAAAAAUGGAUCACUUAUGCUGGUAUGUGUUGGAGAGGCUUAAGUCAUGGCUCACGCGUGACUAUGUUAGGGAGCCUAAGCCUGAUCUUGAGUUUCCGUGGAUGAGGUAUAAUUUUCUUGACAAGAAGGUUUGAGAAAAGUUUGUGAAAUCUUGUAGUUCUGAGGAGUUCGUGGUUAGUACUAAUUUUAUUUUAUGGUAAUUUAAUGCUUAUGCUUUAUAGAUAAAACCAAGCAAGAUAAUAUUUUAUUCAAUGUUUAAAAUAGGUUAAAAUUGAAGCAAGAAAGCAAAACAAGGCAAAAAAGCAAACAUCCCAUAGAUUGUCUCGUGGGGGAUACAUGAAACUUGAGAAAACAAUGGUUGUUGAAAAAAGAAAAAAAAAACUAGGAGAUGGGGACUCCAUGAGUCGUGAUCACAAUCCAUCUCCACCAUCACAACAUGAGAAGUCAAAGAGGGCUUGACAAAGACCAAAUGGAAACUACACUUCAUAUUCCUCAAGAUUAGUUGAUGAGAAAAUUGUAAGUAAGAUUUGUUGUGCGUGUGUUAUGUAUUAUUUAAAUUGUUUUGGUAAUUAACAAUGUAUAUUUUAUCAUGUUGUGUAUGAUUUAUUGGUUAUGUCGUCCCGUAAAGGUUCCUUUGUUUCAGACCUACAACAUGAUAUAUUAGUAUAAGCAAUCAGAACAAAGGAGCAUGGUGGAAGUGUUUGUGGUGUUGGAGAUGACAUCAGACUGAGAUUAUGGUUUGGUGCAUCUAGAAAAAGAACCAGACAAGGGUAAAAAGAAACAAUUGAAUAUUUUGAGAGGAAGUUGGAUAGUCAAAAGAAUUAUUUUGAAGACGCAUUGGCGGCGGAGUGAGAAAGUUGUAGGAAAGACAUGGAAGAGUUAUACGCGGUAUGUGACAAUAUUGUCAUAUCUGAAAUAUAUGAUAUAUAUUGUGUUGAUUCUAAUUUGUUUUCCUGUUAUUUUUACUCUUCCAUGUGCUGAUAUAUGAAAUAUAUGAUAUAUAUUGUGUUAAUAUCUGAAAUAUAGAAAAUCAAUGGAUCCGUUCCACAAUGCACACAUGAAGAUGAUGAUGAUAAAUUGCCUAAAAGAAUUGUUGUACAUGGUGCAAGCACAAAAGGAAGUUGUCCAGUCGCCCUUACCGAUAAUGAGAUCAAUAAUGAGUUAUUGGCUCCUUAUGAACAAUCAUAUACCAAAAUGUUAUGUCACCUUAUCGACAAGACAAAACUAAUUCCUCUGGAGUUAGAAAAUGAUCUAGAGUUAGAUUGUUUUUAUGUUUAUCCUAAAGAUAUAAAGGAUAUGGUCAUUAGAAAUCGGUGGUUGAACAUAGGGUUAUUACAGGUUUUGUGCAUGUAAGUGUAUAAAAUUGCAUAUCUCAUUAUGGUAUAUUCAUCAUUUUAUAUAUAACUAAUUCUUCACUUAUUUUUUGAAUUUUGUUUAACCAUUUAGGUACAUUCUGUUAGGGAGUCUGGGAGAUUCGGGAGCACCAAUGUGACUAAUGCUCCAGGACCACAAGAGAGGGAGACGUUGCAUCUCAACCAAAGACCUUAAGGUGUUAGGCAAAUGGGCUUUCUCUCUUAUAAAUCCAAUAUUCCAUCCAUUCAUAGACAAUGUGGGACUUUAACCACUCACUCUUGCACCUAAUAUUCUUCCCCAUAAGUGUGAGUCUCACAUAUUCUAUAGCAAGAUCCAACAUCAGAUCCAACUCCUGCUCUCCUACAAAGUCGAACCACUGCUCUAAUACCAUUGUUGGAGAGGCGGGAGCACCAAUAGAACUAAUGCUCCAAGACCACAAGAGAGGGAGAUGCCACAUCUCAACCCAAAACCCAAAGGUGUUAGGUAAAUGAGUUCUCUCUCUUAUAAAUCCAACAUUCCACCCAUUCAUAGGCAAUGUGAGACUUUAACCACUCACUCUUGCACCCAACAUUAAUUGUUGAGGUUGGUUAAAAAUAUACAUGUUGAAAAAGUCCCACAUCGCUUAGUUUUAUGAAUGAAGAGAGAGUCCAAGGCUAUAUACAGGAUACAAGUUCUUUGAAGUCACGCAUCGCUUAGUUUUGUGAAGGAAUAGGGAGUUUGAGGUCUUAUAUAGGACUCAAGUUCUUCAUUCCAAGAUGCACCAGUUAAAAACACUUUAAGCUUGUAUUUGACUUUCUUUAUUCUCUUAUACUCUUGUAUUAUAGUGUUGUGGGAUAUAGUUAAAUAUUUGUUUUGGAGGGUGUGAGUGUACUGAAGGUCCGUAUUAGUUGAAUGUAUAUUAUAUGUUGUAACAACUUUCACAUAUUGUUAUUCUCUGGUUGUCUAUUGACAAUGUUCAUGGUUUUUUCUCCGGUUUUGGAGUUUUCACGUUAUGUUCUUGUGUUGUGAUUGUGUUCCUCUUUUUUCUCUAUGCUUUGCUUGUUUUUUCCCAACACAUUCACCGUGUUUGUAUUGAAUUAAAUAAAUCAAAUAUUUUUGGAUUCUUGGAUCUAAUUAGUAUUUGAUUUACAAAUAAUUAUGCAAAAAAGAUUGAAGAAUACAUAACAUCACAGUUAGAUGGGGAAAAAAGUAUGUUAUGUAGUACCAUUUCUCCAUAAGUGAGUAAUUUUAAAAUUGUGGUUUCUCUAAUAUAUAUAGUUAGUUUUCAUGUUUAACCAAAUACUAAUUAUAUAUGCAUGUCUUUAUUCAGUGAACAUUUUCAAUUGAUCAUCAUAUCUCUUCUGACGAAUAUGGUCACUAUAUUGUGUUCCUUACACCGUUCACUUGAAUCUAAAAUGAAACAAAUUAUUACUAGGUAACUUUAUAUUUAUGAGACUCUUAGUAAUAUUUUCUUUUACUUUGUAAUUAGUUUAGCGUAUAAUAUUUUUAAAUCAUUUUUAAUACAGGAUUGUGGAGCGACACUGUUAUAUGAACAGUUAUAGAAAUAAAAACUCUCAUUUUGUGAGUCCAAUGUAAGUGGAUUACUUGUGAAAUUCAUUUAUAUAUAGUUACAUGCAUGUGUGGUUAUAUAUUCCUGAAAUGUGUAAACUUAUAGACGAGGAGACAAGAAGAGUGAUACAAGUGUGAGUAUUAUGUAACUAAAAAACAUGUUAAAUAUCAUGUUCGCCGACAUUGUUGAUUAUUGGGAUCAGGUAUAUAUUAUAUCAUAAAAUAUUUACAAUAACAUAUUUUUAGCUUAAGUUUGUUAUUAUAUUUUAAAUCAUGUGAUAUUCAAUUUUCUUCGUACUUCUUUUUUGUAGACGUUUAACGACGGGACACCUUUGUCCCCCAAUGACUCAAAUGACAUCCGUAAACGUUGGACGUUUAUUAAUGUGCUACUUGAAAAGAAUGUUAAUGUAUGGCUUUGGAUUUGAUGUUUGUAAAUAUAUGAUUUUGGCUUUAGUUAAUGUUUGUAAUAUAUGACAAUAGUAUAUACAUAUUUGUUUGUAAAUAAUAUUUUUUCCUUUGAUCUAAAAAAUAUUUAGGUAAUAUAUGUAUAAAAUACAUGUAAAAAAUACACGUUUGUAAUAUAUAGAAAAAUAAUAAUAAAAAAACAAAGUAUUUCACCACGGUUAUUUACAAUAACUUUCGUAAUAGGUAGCACGCCAAUUAAUUAAAUACCAAACAAUCAUUGGGUUUCCGAGACCUUUAUAUAUAUCUCACCACGGUUACAAGUUACUUCUACACAAGCAAAUUUUACACAAAUGAUAAACAAUUUCUCAAAGAAAAACUGUAUAGAAAAAUGAUAGCUUUUCAAAUGAACUUGUUAAGUUUUUGUAGUGCUUCAUACUCUUAUAUAUGUUUUUUUUCUUCAAGUCUCCAAGUACCACUUAUAUAGCAUAAAAAGAAGGUUGUUGGAAGGCAAAAUGGAGAAACCAAAUAGAGCGGUUGUACCUGUUGGAUGGUGAAAUGAGUGAUACUGUGUACUAUCCUUUGCCAAAAAAUUAAGUGACAGGUGUGAUGUAUAGUACUGUCCUUGCUCACGAAAUCAGGUAGUGGAAAGAAUAUUUAAUUUAUAUUAUGUACUAUUUGAUCACGUGCCCAUUUGAUCAUAUCUUCAAGUUCAUUGACUUCUAAUGAAAUUUGAUGUAGCAUGAAAUCAGAAACAUCAGAAUCUUUGGUCAGAACCUUGACAAUGUUAGUAGUCUGACUUGAGAUCUUCAGUAUCUUCAAAAUCUUUAGAAUCUUCAGAAUCUAAAGUCAGAAUCUUGAUAACCUUAACGUCUGGCUUGAGAUCUUCAAAAUCUUUAGCUAAGUAACACAAUUUCAGAACCUUGUCAUUCUUCAGAAGCUUGGUGAUCAGAGUCACGUCCAGAAGCACAAAUUGAGAGAAUGUUACAACAACAUAGCAUCUCCUCAUAAGCUUAUCAGGAGUGAAUCAACUCAGAAGCAAAAAGAUCAUUGCAGCAACAACUUUGAACAUCUUUCCAGAUUUUCUUAUGAUUGGCGCAUAAGCGGAAUUGGAACACAAUAUUCAAAAACUGAUGAUGUUGCACGUCAUAUACUAAGAAUCGAAAUUGGUUGUUAAAGCCAUACAAUAACAAACCAUUAGGGUGCCAAAAUUGUUCUCACACAAGUACAACCUUGUUAUAAUCAAAACUCAAGGUAUAAAUGCAUAACCAAAUAUUGUUCUAACAAUCUCCCCCUUUUUGAUGAUGACAAAAACAUUUAUUUUGAUGAACAAUUUUGUACAGGGUAAUCACAGAAGGAUACAUCUUAUACAAUCACAAAGCUCCCCCUGAGAUGUGUAAUCCUUAAAAGAUAAAAUCACAAUGAAAGAGAACUUUUCUUAUUAACCUUUUUGAAGUACCAGAAUGAUCUUCCAUUCGAAUCUGGUUGGUCUUUAGAAGUUUCUUGAUGUUGUCCAUAGUACUAGUUUGUUAACAUCAACAUUCUAAUGAACUUCACUUCAAAAACUUAGUUGAAUUCUUUUGAAGAAGCUUCAGAGUUUGGUUCCUUUCAGAGCCUGAAUUCUGGUUCUCUUUUAAAUUCUCCUUCAGAGCUUGAUUACCUUUGAAAAAUGAAUCUCUUUGAAAAGAUAUUUCAGAACAUGGUUAAGAAUUCUUCUUAGAAGCUUGAUUUCCAAGUCUGAUUACUACAUAAGUUACACUUCCUCAGAUCUUGAUGCUGAACUUUUAAUUCUUUAAAUCUUGAUGCCAAGUUCCCCAAGUUCAGAGCCUGGUUAUUAAUUCCUUGAAGACUCAAUGCUUGGAUUUGAUUCUUAAUCUUUAAACCAUUUCUUCAGAAACUAGUAAAUUACAUUCUGAUCUUUGAAACUUCAGAAGAGCUUCUGAUGUUUGAACUUAACCCUGCAAAACAAUUAACAAACUAUUCUUUGAAGUAGUUGUUAGUAGAAAACAUUAAACAAUGUUUGGGUUCUUAUUCAGGACUAUAGGUAUGUCAAAAUCAAUUUAUGAUUCUUCCCUUUAGAUAUGUUUCUCCCCAUUUAUCAUCAAUCAAAAAGACAUAGACAAAUAAAAUCAAAGUGAUUGAAGGAAACAAAAAUGAUUUUCAUUAAGACAUGUGCCAAAAUACAUAAAAGAUACAAUUGAAAACAAGAUGGAAAUUGAAAGAGAAAUAAUAGAAAUGCAGCAAGUACUCGAACAAGCAUAACACGAGACACACACACACACACACACACACACACACACACACACCACACACACACACACACACACACACACACACACACACACACAUACACACACACACACACACAUACACAGACACACACACACACAUAGAUAGAAAUAAAAAGCAUACACACGUGCGAAGACUAUUUAAGAAAACUAAGGGUUUUAGGAAGGAGGAGGAGGCGGCGGAACAACUGGGUAGUCAUCCGAGAGAUUUAAGGGAUCCACCAAUGGAUCAAUGUUAUCUUCAAGACAAAUCUCAAUGCAGUAUGCUAAAACUUAUGGUGGAUCGAUCUUUGUGAAGAUAGGAUAAUUUUUUGACGGGAUAUUACUACCACUGAUUUCUUCUUUGGAUUGAGGAGUGCUUUCAAUGGUGACUGAUCUAGAAGGAGAUUGAGGAUGAGCUAGUUGCAGUUGUUGAAAAUGUUGUUGAAUCUGUUAUCGAGGAGCAAUCAUUGUUGAAGUUGUAGGAAAGGAUGACCAGUUGCAGAGAUGUGUUUUAGGGUUGAAAGAAGAAAGUGUGGGAAUAUUGUGCACAUAGUGUGAAAAUAAGUGAAGUGGGUUUAUAUAGAAGAAAUUGUGUUUGCAAUUAUGACAAGUUAAAAUUACGUAUACAUAGGGGAAGCGUAAGAGAUUUAAACCUAAUUCCAAGAAUUAUGAAACCCAAUUAGUCACGCUAUUAUCACACAUGCUCAGAAAGUAGGACAUUUGUCACCACUUAGAACCGCAUGAUAUCAAACUAUAUGACAUACAUUUAAUGCAAUGAAUAUUCAUAAUCAGGAAGACAAACCGAUAAGAUUGUUUCUUAUUAGAACCUUUCUGAUUCAUGAAACUUCCUUACUUCAGAAAGCUCAUGUUUCAGAGUCAACAAAUAAAUUCGUAGAAUCUAAUCUAGAGUUCUGAAGACUUAAAAAUCCUGAAACUCGUCUUUUCAUUCUGGACAUAAAUCGAUAAAUAAGUUUUUCAAAAUGAAAACGAAUCUAUCUUUAGCGGGGUUUUUUGUAAAGAUAUCAGCCCAUUGAUGGUCUGUAUAAACAACUUUUAAGGGAAAAAUACCCUUCUGAACAUAGUCACGUAAAACAUGAUAUUUAAUUUCAAUAUGCUUAGCCCUAGAAUGCAAUAUGGGAUUCUUAAACAAAUAAAUAGUAGAAGUAUUAUCAAAGAGAAUAGAAAUGUUACUCUCAGAAAUCUGACAAUCUUCCAGCUGACUCUUCAUCCAGAGUAUUUGAGUGUUGCAUCUAAAAGUUGCAAUAUAUUCAACUUGGAUUGUUGAAAGCGCAAUUGUUAAUUGUCUCUUGCUGGACUACGAGAUCAGAUUAUCUCUAAAGAAAAUAUUUUUUUAUUUAGAGAGGAAAUAUCUUUCUCAAGCUCACUACGAGUUUAAUAAGCAACUACUUGGACUUGUUUAAGGUCCUUGUACUUACACUGAAGACUCUGGUACUUUUCCAACAUUUUAGAGAGACAUGAUUCAAGAUCAGAACAAGAUAGGUUAGAAAAUACCUCUUCAGAAUCGGAGUCUGAUUCUGAUUCUAACAGCACCUUGUCUUCUGGUUCUUCAGAACCUUAUGGAUCAACUAUUGUUGCCAUCAAUGCAACGUUGGCUUGUUCCUCGUCAUAAUCUUCUUCUUCUGAUUCUGAGUCGUCCCAUGUAGCCAUUAACCCCUUCUUGCCAUUAGAAAAAUUCUUCUUAAGCCUUAUGUCCCUUUUCAACUUAGGACAAUCAUUUUUAUAGUGGCCUGACUCCUUACACUCAAAGUAGAUAAUCUCUUUACUAUAAUCUUGCUUCUUCUGUCCAGAUGAAGAAUUAGAACGAACAACAAUCCUUCUAGCUCCUCUGAACUUACCUUGACUAUUGUGUAUGUGCCUCUAGAGUCUGUUGACUCUCUUUGAAAUCAGAGAUAAAUCAUCAUCAUCUUCUGAGUCUUCAUCAGAAUAUUCUGAUUCUUCCUCACCUUAAUAAGAUUUUGUCUUCUCAGGCUUAGACUUUAAAGCAAAAAAGUUACCUCGCUUCUGAGGUUUAUCUUCCUUGAGUUCAAUCUUGUGGCUUCUCAAAGAACUAACAAGUUCUUAAAGACUAAUGUUGUUAAGAUCCUUUGCUAGCUUCAAAGAUGUUACCAUAAGUCUCCAUUUUUUAGGAAGACUUCUGAUAAUCUUCUUGACAUGGUCAGCUAUAGAGUAUCCUUUGUUCAAAACUUUCAGUCCUGCAACAAGCAUCUGAAACCUUGAGAACAUAGUCUCAAAUGUUUCAUCAUCCUCCAUUUUGAAUGCCUCGUACUUCUGGAUUAAGGUCAAAGCCUUUAUCUCCUUUACUUGAGCAUUCCCCUCAUGAGUCAUCCUCAGAGAGUCAAAUAUGGAUUUGGCAGAAUAUUUAUUCGUUAUCUUCUUAUACUCAGUAUAAGAGAUAACAUUUAGCAAUAUAGUUCUGACCUUAUGAUGAUUUUUGAAAUAUUUCUUCUAUUGAUCAGUCAUAGCACUUCUUGCUACAUUAUUUCCUUCAACAUUGACUGGGUGAACAUAGCCAUCAACUACAAGAUCCCAAAGAUCAACAUCGUAACCAAUAAAGAAACUUUAUAUUCUAUCUUUCCAAUAAUCAAAUUUCUCACCAUCAAAGAUUGGUGGUUUUGCACUGUAGUGAUCUCUCUCAUUGUUAUUAACAACGUUAGCAGCAUUAUCAGCGACCAUUGUUUCUCACAUAAAACUGGAUCGGUACUGAACACAGUGAAGUGUUGAUAAAUCUUUUAUCACAAUGAGAACCAGAGCUCUGAUGCCAAUUGAAGGUGUGAAAAACAUAAGAAAUGGGAGUUUGAAUUGGGUUUUACAAAACAAAAGCUUUUUACCAACUCAAGAACACCACUUAACUGUUAAUAACAAAGACAUAAAAACACAAGUAUUUUUAUCCCGGUUCGCUUGAAACUCAAAGCUACUCCAGUCCACCCGCCAAGGUGAUUUUUCCUUAUACACAAGGACUUAAUCCACUAUAGUCAACUGAUUAUAAUAAUCACAAAGAAUAAACUUCUCUGUCUUCUCAAGGAUCCAAUUAUACCCUAGUCUCCUUAAGAACUCACAAAGAAUAACCUUCUUUGUCUUCUCAAGGAUCCGAUUAUACCCUAGUCUCCUUAAGGAAUCAAACAAACAGUUUGAAUAAUAUUUUGUGUGUUACAAGUUGCUUCUGCACAAGCAGAUUUUACACAAAUGAUAGACAAUUACUCAAAGAAAAACUAUAUAUAAAAAUGAUAGCUUUCCAAAUAAACUUGUUAAGUUUUUGUAGUGCUUCAGUAUUCUUCUAUAUGUUUUUUCUCCAAGUCUCUAAGUCCCACUCAUAUAGCAUAAGAAGAAGACCGUUUGAGGGAAAAAUGGAGAAACUAAAUAGAGUGGUUGUACACUGUUGGAUGGUGAAAGGAGUGAUAUUACAUAUUAUCCUUCGCCCACAAAUUCAGUGACAAGUGUGAUGUAUAGUACUGUCCUUGCCAACAAAAUCAGGUAGUAGAAAGAAGAUUUGAUUUGUACUAUGCACUAUUUGAUCAUGUGCCCGUUUGACCAUACCUUCAAGUUCAUUGGUUUUUGAUGAAAGUUGAUGAAGCAUGAAAUGAAGAACCAUAAAGCUGGAUUCAGAAACAUCAGAUUCUCCGGUCAGAACCUUGACAACGUCCGUAGUCUGGCUUGAGAUCUUUAAUAUAUUCAGAAUCUUCAGAGUCCUCAGAAUCUACAGUCAGAACCUUGAUAACCUCAAUGUGUGGUUUGAGAUCUUCAUAAUCUUCAGCUAAGUAACACAACUUCAGAAGCUUGUCAUUCUUCAGAAAUUUGGUGAUCAGAGUCACGUCCAGAAGCACGAACUGAGAGAAUGUUGCAGCAACAACAUAGCGUCUCCUCAAAAGCUUCUCAGGAGUGAAUCAACUCAGAAGCAAAAAGAUCAUUACAGCAACAACUUUGAACAUCUUUCAGAACUUCUUAUGACUGACGUAGAAGCGGAAUUGGAACACAAUAUUCAGAAACUGAUGACGUUGCACGUCAUAUACUUAGAAUUGAAACUGACAGUUAAAACUACACAAUAACAAACCAUUAUGGUACCAAAAUUAUUCUCACACAAAUACAACAUUGUUAUCAUCAAAACUCAAGAUAUAAAUGCAGAACUAAAUCUUGUUCUAACACAUAUUUCAUUAAUUUCAUAUUUAAAUAAUUAAAUUUUUGUGAAUGAUUUUUUGUUAAUUUUCAGAACAUGUUUUCUAAAUAUGAUUUAAAAAUUUAAUAGAAUUGCCAACUUUAAUAAUAGAGGAAAUGAAGGGAGUCUUACGUGAGAAUUGUAAUAGUUUUAAAAGAGCUUGUCCAAAUGAGUUAUUCUGGGUUUUUUGAAAUGAUCUUUUAAUGACAUUUAACCAUAUUUAAUUAUAUUUUUAACAAAUUUUAUUCUAAUCGUUAAUUAGUCAAAGGAUCAAAUUACACAUUCAUAUCCCUUAGCUUAAAGAAAGAUAGGUCUCAAAAAGGUGUGUGUUAUAAUAUGUCUAUAUCAUUGAUUCAUUUUAAAUAUUCGGACUUGUGGAAAGUUUUGUAAAAUUCAGAAAGAUAUGAAUAUGAACCCCUUUAUUUUAUUUUUUUUAAAAAUGACUUUUAUAAUGUAAAAUAAUUUUGUGUAAAAAAAAUAUAAAGAUUUUUUUUUAUAAAAGCUUCAAAUUAAAAUUUGUUUUAAACAGUUAUUCUUAAAAUAUUAUUUUAGAUAUUUCAUCAUUUUAUUGAAACUUUUUUUUAUUAUCAAAAUUUUAAAAAAUCACUUAAUUUUGAAGCUAUUUUAAAUAGCUUUUCAUAAAAAUUAUUUUUGAAAUACAACUUUUUAAAAAAUGGCGAUUUCGACUAUGUUUUGUUCUUUAAUAAUUUAUAUUUAUGUUAUAAGAUGUCCAAAUAAUUCUUUCAAUUUAGAAAAGAAAUAUAAAAAAAAUUGUAAUAUUUUGAAAACCCGUUUUAUACAAUCCAUUUUUUGAAAAUAUAAAGAAAAUUUUAUUUUUUUAAAGUUAAAACAAACCGCAAUAUUUGUGUAUUUGAUAUAUCUCUCAGUUCAAGCAAAAAUUCCUAUUUAUAAUAUAGAAUUGCAUAUGAAAAAAUAAAUAGAAUAAUUACACAUAAAGACUAAUUAAACCUAAUAUAAUUACAAUAAUGAGAUAAUCAUAACAUAUCAUAAUACCCCCUCAAAUUCAAGUGGGUGAAGCUUUAAACAUGAGUUUGAUACUAAAGUCCGGAAGUGACCAUGAGAAUGAGGUUUUGUGAACAAGUCAACUGAUUGGUCAAGAGUGCCUAUUGUCGCAACGGUGCAAAAAAAACAACCGGCGAGGAAAAAACAGAAGAGUCGCCACCGUUCAUUAUUUAUCCCAAAGGAGGGAAAGGAAACAAUCGAAGAAAACCUGAAGAGAGGAAAAGACAAGGUCUCGCAACCAAAUCUAGGGUUCGGGAGUCGGUUAUGCGAAGGGAAGGUAUUAACACCCCUACACAUCUGUAGUACUCUACGGGAUCCACUCUUGUUGUUCUAGUCUAUAGGGUGUAGGUAUAUCUAAAGUACUAUUUACUAAAAGAGGGUUAAAAGAAAAUGAAAAUGACUCGCAAGGGUGUCGCAUCCCCUGCCUACGUAUCUCAUUUGAGUAUGAGAAUCAGAGUCUUCGUAGCUUGGCUACCUAUGGGCGAAAGAGAAGUGUGCUCGGUAAGACAUCGCGUCUUAUGCCUACGUAUCUCAUCUGGAAUGAGAAUCAGAGCAAAACGUAGUUCAGCUAACUACGGGAACAAAGGUAUCGAUUGCAACUAGGGCAAGAGAAAGGGAAAGUCUCGAUCGCAACGAGGACGAGAGAAAAGAAUCGCAACAAGGGCGAAAGCAAGCAAGGAUUAGUUGUUAGUCGUCAGUCAAAACUCGGCAAGACAUUGCAUCUCGUGCAUACGUAUCUCAUCUGAACAUGAGAAUCAGACUUGUCGUAGUUCGACUAACUACGGGAACAAGAGUCUCGAUUGCAACUAGGGCAAGAGAAAGGGAAAGUCUCGAUCGCAACGAGGGCGAGAGAAAAGAAUCACAACAAGGGCGAAAGCAAGCAAGGAUUAGUUGUUAGUCGUCAGUCAAACUCGGCAAGACAUCGUGCCUCGUGCCUACGUAUCUCAUCUGAACAUGAAAAUCAGAGCUACCGUAGUUCGGCUACUUGGGGGUUAAGGAUUGCCAUCUGAACAUGGACUUACAAAAGAGGACACCAGCUGUGUCAAAGGAAAGUGGGCAAUGUGUUCAACGUCCUAGCAGUAGGUGUCACAGCUCGAUGAAUCGAGUCUUAGGCAGUUACCUCUUUGCAAUAGAAUGGACGGACAUGCCACAAGAUCGGAGAUGCACGGAAGGUCUAAAAAGAUGGGGAAUCUAUGCCCUAGAGUUGUCAUGCAAUGUGGACUUAUGUGUUAGGAUUUACAAAGUGGAACAUCUACCUAAUGUUAGCAUGCAAAGAAUAAGGGAAUUCUACCUAUGUUAUCAUACAAUGGGUUCUACCUAAUGGGUGCUACCUAAAUGGAACAAGAGUCAACGGAUGGAGCAAGGUGAGGAACCACAGAUGAGGGUAGAUGGCGAUGCCUGAGGCAAUCUACUUAUAGGUAGAUGGCGAUGCAUAAAGCAAUCGACUUACAAGAGGAUGGAUGAAUGCGUGUUGGUUCUGUUAGGUUUUUAAAAUGAUUACUCAACGUUGGAUCGAGCUUUUGAUCUUGUUUUGAAAUGAUUAUCGGAUGUUCGUUUUAAUUCUUAUAUUAACAGAUGAAUAAAGAAUGAAAUAAUAAACAUUAUACACUUCAUGUGAGAGGGGUACAUUUGUUAUGAAUGGGGAUUGUUCAUGGCAAUCAAACAAUAAGAAUAUAUGCCUCAUACAUCAUACAAGUAGGCAACAGUUAAUCAAACAAUAAGAAUAUAUGUAAACAAGUGUGUAAUCAAACCAAAGAAUCAAAUAAUGGAGCAUUAAAUAAUGCAUGGGAGUAUGAACAUGUUAAACAAUCAAGCAAUAGAAAGCAUGAAUGAGAUAAACAAGUAUAAAAGAUAACAGAUGAACCAGACAGAUGAAAAGAAAUGCACAAAAGGGUCCACUGAAUAAUUAAAUCAGGAAAUGAGGUAAGGAUCAAAUAAAAUCAAGAUACAAGGCCUCUAGUACAUGGCAUAUGAGAUGAACAAGGGAGGAUCAAAAGAUCUCUUCAAUUGCCAUAAGCAAUCCCUAAGUCAAACAUCGAUCAUAAAGAAGUCAACUGAAAAAUCGAACAAACUUAAUAAUUAUCAAAUAAAUAGCAAAUUAAUCAAGAAAAUUAUGAAACAUUAAACUAAAUAAGGUGGGGUCAGGACAUCAUCACCCCCCCAAAAGAUUUCAAAAAUAAUGAAAAUUGGUUCAUGAAUUAAAUGAAAUAAAACAAAGGUCAAACCAAAAGUCAACCAACCAAACUAGGUUAAAAAUAAAUCAAGAAUAAAUGGAAAUUUGUGAAAUAAAAAUCCAAGAAAAAGUCAGGUUGACCAUGGGAUAGUGGUCAACCUUCAUCCAAAAAAUCAGAAGCUAAAAAUAAUUUUAAGUCAUAAAAAUAAAAUCAAGAAUUAAAGGUAUGCUAAAAAGAACCACUUGGAAUAAAUAAUUAAAAUAAAAUAUUAAUAUUAAAUGAAUACAAAAAUAAAAACUAAAUAAAAUUAAAUAAGGCAUUGAGCAACAAUGAAAAUAUUUUUGGAUAAUUUUAUGAACAAAGAAAAUAUUUUAAAAUAAUUAAAACCAAAACAGAAAUAAUAUGGGAAUAAAAAAAAGAAAUUGAAAAGAAGGGGUGCAUUGGCAUUUGUGAUAGACUAGAAAAAGGUUAUGCGCCAAUGGGCCAAAAAAGGGAGGCAUGGAAAGUAAGUAGUGCAUGCCCAUGGAUCCAAACAAUUAUUAAAUUGGGGCGUGACAGAAUAGAAUAACAUUUUAAUAAAAUAAUUCAUGUGGACUUGCAUCAACCGGUCACGUUUCAUUUAAGUGACUAAAAGACAAAAUAAGGAUGGACGGCCAAGAUUAGAACAAAAGCGCUUGAUCCAACGGUCCUCAAGACGACACGUGGUCGUCUUCCUCAUGGGACCAAAACCCUAAUGCCAUGCAAUGCAGAAACGCGAAAAUACAGUGGAUUUACUCAAACUUCAACUCAAAAAUGCGCAUGUCAUAUUGAACCAAAAGACAUGAAAUAAAGCCCAGAUAUCAAGUAUGAAGUGUGAAGAUUAACGUGGUAUCUUGUUUUAGGUUAAAUGAUGGCUUAAUCAUGGAGAAAUAUUGACAGCAAAGUGGCAACAUGGACACGAGCAAGGGCAAAAAUUCAACAACACAAAUCAAUAUCAAGAACAUUGCCUCGUACUGAGGACUUCAGAAGUAAACACAAGCAUAUGAUUGGCAUGGUAAUGAUGAUGAGCAUGGUAAUGGCAUGAAACAAGCAUGGUAAUGGUAUAGAUGUAUCAAUACAUGGCCAUGGAAGAGGAGUGAUAGAGUUACCUAGUGGAAGUUAGGUCCACUGCCUCUUGAUUGUGGAGAAAAUGGAAGAAGAAUGGUGCUGCCUUGAUGGUGCUUCAAAGCUUCAACUUGAGAAAUGGAAGAGGAAUGAAAUCUGACUUGAAUGAACUCUGUAACACCCCUUUUUCUACCCCAAAUUAUUUAGCAUAUAAUCAGAGUAAAUAAGCACGCAUAUAAAGAAAAGGGCGUCACAUCGACGUUUUCGAAACUUAAAACUUUCAAAAACCAACAAUACACCUGGCCAUUUGAAAUAACACAUUUUACUCCUCAUGAAUAUUCAAGCAAUAUGCGUUCGCAGCGGAAAAUAAAGAAUACUCAUGUAUUUCAUAAUAUGAUCCAUGUCCCAUACCAUGAUCAUCUCUCAAUAAUCACUUUCAAUAAAAUAAAACAAUUAAUGACAUAAAGCAUAUCAAAAUAAGAUAUGAGUUCAAUACCACUAAUCUACCCCAGUGUUACAUGACCAGAGCAUUGACUCAUUACCUAAUUUCAAACUAAAUACGGAAACUCUCCAGCUAUUCUUGAGCGAGCUACCGUCCACCUACUCCAGCAAUACUACUAUGUAGUAUCUGCAUGAUACCCAUGUAAAGGUAACAUUCAAACAGAAAGGGUGAGAAUUCCAAUCAUUAUGAAAUAGCAUAAUAAGGCACAAUGAAUUAAAACACAAUUUAAGAAUUCAUCACACUUGGUAUAAUCACGUCAAUAAUAUUAACCAACAAUCAUCUCACAUAUUUCAAACGUACAUCGCAUCCACAUCAAUACAUGCAUUCAAUGAUCACAUAACUAUAGACGACUCAAUGCAAGACAAUGUGACUCUAUGCAUGUGGUACCUCAAUGUGAACUCAAAGUUUCACCGCUUUCCGAUUCAAUAUCUAGAAUCCAAGCCACGCUUCCGAUCCGGACAAGACCAAAGCCCUACGUCUGUUUCCAAUGAAGGAUCACCGCUUAAUACUACGCCUAAUCCCAAUUAAGGAUUAACGUCUGCUACGUCUGUUUCCAAUGAAGGAUCACCGCUUAAUAACUUCCACAAUGAAGUCAACCAUGCUAUGAAUGAAUGCACACAUACCAACACAUAUGCAAUUAAGACCAUCCAUAUACCGUCUUAACAUCCCACAUAUCACCAUGACUCACAAUUGGUACAUAUACACAUUCAUCACAACACAUCAAUUACGAUUACAUAUACACAUCCAUAACCAUAAAUCAUUCACAAUUCAAUAAUGGUAUACAUACACAUUCAUACAAUAUAUUAUUCACCAAUAUAGGCCAAUCAUCAAAUAUGUACACAUAGAUUUCAUUCCAAAACGCACACAACAUUUAAAUAUCAAUUUUUCACUUUUCAAACAGUGUUAACCGGUUAACGCCCUGGGUUAAUCGGUUAACGCAAAACAGAAUGCGCUUCUUGGCAAUUUUUAACAGUGUUAACCGGUUAACGCCCUGGGUUAACCGGUUAACGCAAGACAGAAUGCAAUUUUUUUAAUAUCGUAACAGUGUUAACCGGUUAACGCCCUGGGUUAACCGGUUAACGCAAGACAGAAAGCUGUUCCUGCGCUAACACGAAACAGAAUGCAGAUUUCCCCGCAUUUUUCAUCGUUGGAGGACUUCCGGACCUCCGAUUUCGAUUAUGUAAAAAGCUACACGUUCAGAAAAUUAUGACUCAUCCAAAUAUAUAUUCAUUCACAGUUUUUGCAUAAUUUAAUCAUCACAAUUCAAGAGUAUUUAUCAAUACCUAAUAAUUCCAAACCAUGCCAAUUAAGGAUUUCAACCUAAAACAUGUUCCUACCCAUUGACCCAAUCAUACUAACCCAUAAUAAUAAGGAUUUCCCCCCUACCUUGUUAAUUUGAUGGAAACCCUGACUCUUCUUUACUUUUCCUCUCCUCUUUCUCUAUUGCUUUCAGUGCUUAAGUGAAUUAAAAUUCUCACUUCCUUCACUCUUACUAUUUAUAAUAGUAUUCUAGUUGGGCUUAAAUCAUCUAAUUUAAUCACUAGGCCCAAUAAUACCUAAUAUUUUAAUACCUCUAUUUAAAUUUAAAUAAUUAAUCAUUCACUAUGCAACCAAGUUAAUUAAUUAAUUCAAUUAUUUAAUUAUUUCUCAUAUCCACUAGAUAAUGAAUUAAUACACCGAUUAAUUAAUUAACACUCCACAUAAUUAAAUUAAAAUUAUAAUAAUAAUAGUAUAAUAAUUCAAUACUAAAAAAAUGGGUUGUUACAACUCUCCCCCACUUAAAAGAUUUUCGUCCUCGGAAAUUUACCUCAAACGAACAAUUCCGGAUAUGAUUCCCUCAUCUUAUCCUCGAGUUCCCACAUAAUAUUUCCAUUGGCGACUCCGCCCCAUAUCACUUUUACCAAAGCAAUCUCCUUACCACGAAGCUUCUUCACUUCUCGAUCUUCAAUCCGCAUUCCCCCCUACCUUGUUAAUUUGAUGGAAACCCUGACUCCUCUUUACUUUUCCUCUCCUCUUUCUCUAUUACUUUCAGUGCUCAAGUGAAUUAUAAUUCUCACUUCCUUCACGCUUACUAUUUAUAAUAGUAUUCUAGUUGGGCUUAAAUCAUCUAAUUUAAUCACUAGGCCCAAUAAUACCUAAUAUUUAAAUACCUCUAUUUAAAUUUAAAUAAUUAACCAUUCGCUAUGCAAUCAAGUUAAUUAAUUAAUUCAAUUAUUUAAUUAUUUCUCAUAUCCACUAGAUAAUGAAUUAAUACACCGAUUAAUUAAUUAACACUCCACAUAAUUAAAUUAAAAUUAUAAUAAUAAUAGUAUAAUAAUUCAAUACUAAAAAAAAUGGGCUGUUACAAACUCCCUCCUUGCUUGCUCGAAAAAUCACAAUGCUUGCCUUCAGAUUUAGGAUUUUAGGCUUAAAUAUGUGGGUCAAUAAAUCCUUAAUGGGCUCAGAAAUGAAUGUUUUGUUCAUGAGCCAAUGAUGCAUUUGGUGAGGUGUAGAAAGAGGGCAUGUGAAAUUGUUUCUUAUUUUGGCAAAGUUUAAGUGAGUGGAAAUGUUGCUGCAUGGCCAAAUGAGGUAACAAAAAUGUGGGUUGGUUUGUGCAGCAUGCAUGGUUUGGCUUGUGCAACAUGAAAUCAGUCCAAGAUGGUGACUUUGUGGCCAUAUAUCUUGAUGAGCAAGCCACCAAAUGAUGAGAUGAUGCAAACAAUGGAAAGAUCUCAUGGAGCAUAGCAUGUUUCAUGUUGAGCAUGAGUGGAAAUGAUGAGUGGAAGAAGGUGAAAAAUAGGCCUCAAGUUUAGGUCACACCAUGCAAAACUGGUUGGGCAAGUUUGGCCUAAAAUCUGCCUAAAAAAUUAAGCCAUGGUGCCAACUUUAAGUGAGUGCAUCUCUCAAACCAUGGAUCCAAAUGAGAUGAUUCCAAAGUGAGGUGAAAGAGGACAUGGCAAGGUACAAUUGUUGUGAAGAAAACUUUUGCAAUUGGUGCCUUGAAGUGCAAGAAAACUGGCCAAGAAGUCUUGACAAACUUUGAAGAUUUUUAGACUUAGAAAUUUUUCUAAGUGUCCUAGAAAAUAUGCCCCACUUUGACUAAGCAUAACUUUCUCAAUCUUGAUCCAAAUGGAGCAAACUUUAUAUUUCUAGAAAGCUUGGAACAAGAUGAACAACUCUCAUGUUGGAGAAAUUUUCAAAUGGAGCUCUUAUCUUGAUGGAAAAUGGGCUUCAAGUGAGUGCAACAAUCAUGAAAACUUGUCCUAAAUGGAAAGUCAACCAUUUCCAAAUUAAGUAACUUUUCCAAUUCCUGAUUAAAUGAUGAAUCCAUGAUCCGACCUUGAUCAAAUUUCACAUGUAGGAUCCCCUAGGCAUGUAUUUUGAGAUUCCACUCUCAAAAUGAUAGGAGUUAACUUUUAUGGCCCCACAGUUGACUUUUCCCAAGCCGUCUGAUUCCCGAUUCCAAUGAUCAAUUGAAGCACCUCUGGCUCAAAUAAAAAGCUGAUUUUUUGUAUGUAGACCCUUGUGGACACAUGGAGGGCCAUGGAAAAGAGUUUCACCCAAAGAAUCAGAAAUAAACUUAUUUUAUACCAAACCCUAAUUUUAGGGCAAAAUUGAUCGGGAACUGAUUGCACUGCUUGCCAAUGGAUCUUUCUGAGAUAAUUAUGAAUCUUCCUAGGCCAAGAUGCCUCUCCAAUCAUGACAUGGAUAAGCUCCACUACUUCCAACCAAACAUUGCCUGUUGCAAGUAGCCAUGAAACCCUAAUUUCCUGAUUAAAUCUAGAUGAACACUCUGAUAGCUCUGAAUCCUUCAUUGAUGAACUGAGGACCAUAAUAAGACACCUGGAGCCCCCUGAGACCUUUGAGACUUGUAUACUUAGAGAAAUGAAUUCUAAUUCUCAAUCUUGCUUUGUGUGAGCUCUUUCUGUUAAGGAGUGAUCAAUCAAAACCUGAUUCCCAAGUCACUAAUGCAGUAUGCAAUGAGUAUGACCUAGUAUGAUGCUAAUGAAGUGUAAAACAUAAUCCCAUGCUUCCAAGAAAAAUGAAGGAUAAAUUUUGGGGUAUUACACCUAUGGAUAAAAGAUGAAGUUCACACUAAGAGGAUGCUGACGAAUGAACUGACAAUCAAUUUCAAUAUAUUUUGUUCACUUAGAAAAAAUAUUAUUGUGGGCAAUUUGAAUGACACCACGAUUAUCAGAAUAAAAAUCUAUCGGAAAAGAUUUUUUUAUCACUAUGUAUUAAACAAGUAUCAUAUUUUUGUUUUCCUAAAAAAUUUGUAUGUUUUAGUCUCCACAAAAUUAUUUUUCUAGAAUCUUUAUUCUCUAUUAAUAAAUCAGCAUAUAUUUUUUGAAUAAAUUUGCAAACAUGUUUUGAACACUAUAAAUUCUUCAACAAAAAUGAACUCAAAAAUUGAUUUAUAGUUCCAAAUUUUCAUUAAUUCUAGUGUUUAAAUGUUCAUAUUUCAUUCAUGUCAUAUUUAUAUAAUUAAAUUUUUGUGACUGAUUUUUUUUUAAUUUUUGAAACAUGUUUUCUAAAUAUCAUUUAAAAAUUUAAUAGUUGACGAAUUGUCACCUUUAAUAAUAGAGGAAGUGAAGGAGUCUCAUGUGAGAAUUGUAAUAGUUUUAAAAGAGCUUGUCCAAAUGAGUUAUUUUGGGUUUUUUGAAAUAAUUUUGUAAUGAUCUUUAACCAUAUUUUAUUAUAUUUUUAACAAAUUUUAUUCUAAUGGUUAAUUAGUCAAAGGAUCAAAUUGCAUAUCAUAUCCCUUAUCUUAAAGAAAGAUAGUUCUCAAACAGGUGUGUUAUAAUAUAUCUAUAUUAUUGAUUGAUUUUACAUAUCAGGACUUGUCGAAAGUUUUGUAGAAAUUCAGAAAGAUACUUAAGAGUCCCACAUCGGACAAUAUAUGGCAUGAACAUGUGUUUAUAAGUGGGGGCAGUCCUCACUCUACCAACCGGUUUUGUAGGGUUGAAUUAGGCUCGACCACAUUUCUUAACAUGGUAUCAGAGCCUCGUCUAAGAUCCGGUGGGCCACCUACUAUGGUUUCCGCUAUCGGGCCACCAUCUUAACAUGGUAUCAGAGCCUCGUCUAAGAUCCGGUGGGCCACCUACUAUGGUUUCCGCUAUCGGGCCACCCACCAUUUAUUUCCACGCUCCAGAUGUCCAGUCCUGGGCGUGAGGGGGUGUGUUACCACGCUCCAGAUGUCCAGUCCUGGGCGUGAGGGGGUGUGUUAAGAGUCCCACAUCGGACAAUAUAUGGCAUGAACAUGUGUUUAUAAGUGGGGGCAGUCCUCACUCUACCAACCGGUUUUGUAGGGUUGAAUUAGGCUCGACCACAUUUCUUAACAAAUAUAUUUGUGUAUUUGAUAUAUCUCUCCGUACAAGCAAAAACUCCUAUUUAUAAUAAAGUAUUGCUAAAACUCCUAUUUAUAAUAUAAUAUUGCAGAUGAAAAAUAAAUAGAAUAAUUACAUAUAAAAAAUAAUUAAACCUAACAUAAUUACAAUAAUGAAAUAAUAAUAACAUAUCGUAACAUCCCCCUCAAAUUCAAGUGGGUGGAGCUUUAAAUAACUUGAGUUUGAAAAUUAAAGUUCGGAUGUGAGAAUGGGGUUUUGUGAACAGGUCAGUUGAUUGGUCAAGGGUGCUUAGGGAUAAAAGGUGAAGUUCACCAUUGAGAAUAUGCUGACGAAUGAACAGACAAUCAAUUUCAAUAUGUUUUGUUCGCUUAUGAAAAAUAUCAUUGUGGAUUAUUUGAAUGGCACCACGAUUAUCACAAUUAAGAUCUGCCGGGGAAGGUUGAGAUGUCUCUAAAUCAACAAGGAGUCGACGAAGCUAUAAUAUCUCAUAUGUCAUAUCAUCAAGAGCACAAUAUUCAACUUCAGUGCUAGAGCAUGUUGUCAAAGUUAGUUUCUUGCUCCCUAAAAAAAAAAAGAGAAUCUCCAAGAAAAAUACAAAAACCUAUAGUGGAUCGACGAUCAUUAGGAUCACCGGCUCAAUCGAUAUUAGACUAGACUUUAAGAAUCAAUGAGAUUGCAGAUGAGUAGUGUAGACCAUAAAAUAUGAUCCCCUUAAUAUAUCGAAUAAUUUCGAGGAUAGCAACAUAACUAUUGGAACACGGAGAGACCAUGGAUUGAUUAAUCAAAGAACAACAUAUGAUAUAUCUGAUAUAGUAAUUAUGAGGUAAAUCAAGCUACCUACGAGUUACCGAUAAAGAGGGGCAUAAUCAAUCAAAGUACCACCAUCUUGAGGAGUAAACCAAACAUUGGGUUCUAAAUGAGUAUUUUCAAUUUUGCAAUCAGUAAAACCUGUCCAAGAAACAAGAUCAGAAGCAUACUUAAUGGUAAAAAAUCCUUCAUCUCAAAGUUCUCACACAAGAAUUUUUGGAGCUAUUCAAUUCUAAUAGAGUCAUCGUCAAUGAUAAGCAUGUCAUCAACAUAAAGAAGCAAGACAACAAUAUCAUUGUUUAUUUUUUGAGUAAAAAAGUUAUAAGAACUAGAAGAGAAAUCCAAUUAUUUUUUUGAGUAAAAAGAGCAAAAUCAUGAGAACUGAAUGAGAAAUCCAAUUAUUUUUAGAGUAAAAAGAGCAUAGUCAUGAGAAUUGAAAGAGAAAUUCAAUUGUUUUUAAAGUAAAAAGAAUAUAGUUAUAAAAACUGGAAGAGAAAUCCAAUAAAGAAUAUUGAUAAACAUCCAAACUCAAAACUCAAAAGUACUCUGAACAAGAUUGUGUGCAUCUAGUUCGUCUCUUCAUAAAAGUGAUAACCAUAUAGAGUUUAACUCAAUUCAAAUAUCAAAAUUAUAGCUAAGUAAAACAUAAUGUUUUUCUUUUUCAAAAGAUAAUAGAUCCUUCAAUAUUUCUUAAGAGGCAUAACAAAUCUAAGUAUCAUAAAAAUCUAAGAGAAUUGUUGUUGUUUGAAAUUAAGGCGUUGUUGUCAUAGAUGAAUUUUCCAGCAAGCUCUUCUAUAUAUGAUCAUCUUCAAACACAACACAAUCUUUUGCUGAAGAUUAUGAUGACAUAGAUACAAACACAAAGUUUGUUGUUUGGAAUCUAAAGAAGACCCACAUCGUUUUUAGUAAAAUCUAAUUAACGUUUAUAUCCUCUUUCAUACAUCACUUAUUAUCAACUUGGAUACUAGGCCCAUGCUAAAACUUGAUGAGUUGGAGUUUAGAACUCUAAUUAAUUAAUUUAUAAAAAAAUAAUAAAUUAUAAGGGUAAUACAAACUUGUACAAAUAAUUUUUUAUUAUAUUUAUCUCUUAAUAUGUGCCUUUGAUUCAAAUUUAAAAUUAUAUAGAUUUAAAUGGAAUGUAAAAUUAUACACUUAGAUUUAAAUCAAAAUUACUUAGAAUGAAAGUUUAAAAAAUAAUAAUUUAUUUUUCUAAUUAUCUCCAUGUCGUCCAAUUAAUGACAAAGAAACAUUAAAAUUUUAUUUUUAUGCUAAUCCCUUAUUGCUAAUUAGAAAUUGUAAGGAUUGACACAUUUCCAUGUACUAUAUUUAAAAAGAAAAGUUUUAGUGCUACUAUCCUUGUCAAAUUAUAUGCUAAAUCUCUUAAGAACUCUUGUGUUCUAUUAUUUUUUCUUUUACUUUCACGUAACAAAAAAAAUAAAAUUUUCUUUUAACAAAAAUUAAAUUCAAAAUUAAAAUCAACCAAUUUAAAAUGAGAAAAUAGAAGAUAUAUUUAAAAAAACAUUCCAUUAACUAUCAUAUCAUACUAAUAAUUUUAAACGACUUAAAUAAUUGAUAUUUUGAUUAUAAAAACUGUCUCAUUUCUUUAUUUCAAAAUAAUUGUCCUUUUACACUAUCAAUAUAAUAUUUAUUAUUUUUUUAACUACUAUAUCUUUAUUUAUUAGCUUUUUUUUAAAACUAACUAUAAUUAAUAAAAAUAUUUUAAUAAAUUAUAAUAGAUUUAUCACUAAAAUUAACUCAUCUAAUCACUUUCUUAAUAACCGUAGAUAGUUCAAAUAAGAUAAUCUUUUAAUCAAUAGUAACUAUUAAACUCAUUUAAAAUCAUUUUAUGAGAUUAGACGAUUAGAUAAAAUAAUUAUGAUAAUCAGUACUAGUGGAUGGUGUCUAAUAAACCAAUAAAAUAAAGAGAAAGAAAAAAAAGGCACUUGCUACUCAUCUCACCUUUUGAACUCCACAAGAAAAAACAUAUUAAAAAAUAAAUAAAAUAACGAGUUAACUCAUCUCAUACGCAACUAUUUUCACACAUCCCAAGUAAAGACAAACGAGUUAACUCAAUCAACAACAACUUUACUCAUCUUCCAUCUCAAUCAUCUUCCAUUUCAAUCAUCUUCUUCUUGCUUCAUCGUUCUUACACCCAAUUUCUACAACCCCAUUAAAAUUCAACAAUGACCCAUUUAUUGAAUCAACCUAAGCAUCACCAUUCUUCAUUUCAAGAAGAUAUUUUGGUUAGUAACCGAUGUCUUCAGAAGUUGCACAGAAACUGUUCGAUGAAAUUCCUCAACCACGUCGCGGACACCAAACCCACUUCUCAACCUUGGCCUCGCCGUUCAUAGAAAGCUGGCAGCUUUUUCCAUGGUUAACCAAAAUGUACCUCCUUACAUCCUCUGGUAACAUCAGUGUGUACUUCUCCUCACAAUUCACUUGUUCAUCCAAAGAAUGACCAGUUGAAUUUGACCUCAAAAGCUUCGGUUUUGAUGCGUGACUGUCACCAAAAUUGAUACUUUCUCCAAUUUGGUUUGGGCUUGGGUCAUUGGAAGCAUUACUGAAAGUGAUUUCUGGUUCGGGUACGGGUUCGGUUUCGGUUUGAGAAUUUUCUUCACACAUUUGGUCAUUGUUGAAAUGGGUUGGGAUGAUAAUUGGGAUAGAAACCUGACAAGAAUCUUGGUUAAGAUUUGCGCGACAAACAGGACAUGUGACAUGCGAAGCUAGCCAUGAAUCAAUGCAUUGAGGGUGAAAAACAUGGUUGCAUUUAGGAAGUAAUCUCAAGGUAUCAUUUUCUUUGAAAUCUGUUAAACAAACAGCACAUUCCAAGGGUCCUUUAUCAGUUUUAAGAUCCUUGAUUGCUGAGUAAAAGAGGAUAGGGAAAGUGUUGAGGAGUUCUUUGUUGAUACCAUGGGAACAUGAACAAGGACAAUCUGUGGUGUGAUUUGUUCUUGUGAUGAUGAUGUGUGAUUCAACACAGUUUCUGAUGUAGAAAAAAAUGAUUCCUAAGAAAAGGAGUAGACAAAGUAUGGAACCUACUGUGAUUGCAAAGGAGGGCUCCCAUUUGUGAUGAGAAAUGUCUGUUGGAAGAGGUUGCAUGGAUGUUUGUGAUUCAACAUGGUUGAGGAAUAGAAGGAGGAGGAAGGGAAUCAUAGAUGCUUUGAGAUGAAACAUAAGCAUGUUUGAUGUGUGGUUUAGUGGAGUUUGGUUUUUAGAGAGGAGGGGAAUAUGAGGAAAAAGAAGAGGAAUGAGUGUUAUAAAGGGGAGAGGAGAGAAGAGGAAAGAAGAAGGGAAGUUGCAUUUGUUGCUUGAAGAACAAGGAUUUGGUUUAGUGGAGAAAAGCUUCAAGAAUGGAUGAACGGUGAAGAGUGAAGUGUGAAGUGAACACUCCUUUUAUGUUCCUUUUCAUCAAUUCUAAGGGGCUAUAAAUAUACCACAAACUUAGAAGAUAUUUUAAUUAAUUCAACUAUUAAAAUAUUUUUCUUUUGUUUUGUUUUUAGCCCAAAGAUUUUGACCAGGAAAAAAUACUACUAAUUGAUAAAUUAGUUUAUGGCAGUGUUUUAAAAAUCGAUUUGAAUUGGACGACCAAAUCAAAAACUGAAAGGGUCAUCGUUCUAGUUUGAUUGUCAAAUCGGAUAAAUUAUUUAAUUAUAAUCGAUCAAAUUCUAUAAAAUCCAAUGAAAAGUGUCAGUUUUGAAAAAACCACGAAUUAAUGUUUGUUUUGUUUCAAACAAAUCAAAUAGUUUUUGAUAAUUUUUUUAAUAAAGUAAAAAUAAAAAUACAAGUAAACUUUUUUAAAAUUUAUUUGAAACAACUUAUCAUCCUUAAAAUUAAAUUUAUUAGAAAUUAUCAAAUAUUUUGUUAUUCAGUUUAUAUUACAGUUAAACUUUAUUAAAAAAUUAGUUGAAUUUGUAAUUUUUUUUGUGAUGAUUAUGUUUAGAAUUUGAAUUUAAAAAAUAAAUUUGUAAAAUUAUGAUAUUUUGAAAUUUUAAAAAUUUGUAGUUGCUGUGAUUUUUUCACGACCAAAUCAUUUGGUUUAAUCGGUAGAGAUCGAUUUAUUCAACUGAAUUACUGGAUUUAGUCAUGCAGUUUGAUUAAUAAUCCAAUGGUUUGAUUAAUAAACCACUGACCCAAUACCUUUAGGGAUUCGAUUAUCGAUCUAAUUUUUAAAAUAUUAAUUUAUAAUAAAAAAACUUAUAAUAAAAAAAUUUGAUACGUAAAAAAGAACAUAUAACUGAUAAAUUAGUUUAUAACAGAAUAAUUUAUUAUCGAACAAUACAUAAAUUAAUUGAUUGAAUUACGAUACCUCAAUUUUUUUUGGUUGAACUCGUUUAUGGAAGAUGUAAUAUAAAAAUAUAUAUUUAAUUAAUUUUUCAAUUAAAAUUACAAAAUUAUUAAUAAAAUAUAAAAAUAAAAAUUGUAAACUAUUUAAAUUAAUUUAUUAGAAUAUGAUAUAAGCUUAUUAAAAUUAAAUUAUGAUUUUCGUUAAACUUGUUCAGUUGAUAAUCAUGAAAAAAUAUCAUAUACAAAUGUGAAUAAUGAAAUCCGUGAAUAGUCAAAUUCUACUUAUUACGACAAAAUAAUACUCCAAUUCUAUUAAAAAAAAGGAAUUUUUUACCCAAAUAAUCCAAUUUUUCAAAAAAAAUCUCAAAAUAACCCACUUUUUAAAUUAUUUCCCAAAAUACCCCACUUUGAAGAGGAGGCGUCAGAUGAAUUGACGUCUGCUCUUAAACUUAGAGAUGAGGUGCCAAUUGGAUUGGCUAGUCCACCUUGUGUUGCCAAUCCAAUUGGCGCCUGUGUGUUAAGUUUUAAAGGAGGCGUCAAUUGGUCUGGCACUUGCGUGUGUUUCGUAAUUUUUUUGGAAAAACAUUGUAUAUGAUAGAUAAAGUUGAAAUCAGACCAGUUCAUAUUAAUAUUAAUACCCAUUUACACAAAAAAGACUAAUGUCGAUGACCAGGAUCACCUAACCGACUUCCGAUCCCACAUCUCCUAGCUACCCGAACUCGUGGCCCUAACCUGUUGAUGAUUCACCCUAUCUGAGGGCCUAGGAACAUCACCACCAACUGUAGGAGAUUGCUUGAGAUAGCCAGACAAAUCAGCGUAGUCUUGUGUAUGCAUCAAAGGGGUACCAUCAUAGUUGAGUUCAUGACCCAUGCUAGAGUAGUUGGGUUAUGUUUGAGUUGUUGGAGGGCGACCAGGACGAUCGAAGGGAGACAUUGGUGUGAAUGAUGCGUCGAGAAAAGGAUGAAAUGAUUGUUGUGGUGUUUGAUAGACAUAUGGUUGUUGAAGGUUUUUGUUUUGAGAUGUUUGGGCUUCUUGGCUAUAGUAGGAGGAGGGACGGUUGAUGUUAAAUGAUCGUUGAGUGUUUUGGCUAAGGCGGCUAUGAUAAGGUGACGUGUUGGGUGUAUAACUAUAUUAGAUGUCUUGAUGAUGAUCUAGUUGUUGUUGGUGGUACGGGGUAUGCUCUUGGUAUUAUGGUUGGGUGUUUGGCAUGUUAGGGUUGUAUGUUUGUGUGUUUGUGGAUCGGAAAUUUUGAUGGAUAAAGGGUUGUGAGUAGCCAGUCUGACAAUGUUGUUAGGGGUUAGAUGUUGAGCCUUCUGGUGUGUAAGUUGUCUGGCGUAGAUCGUAUAGGUACAUAUCCUCGGCGAUGAACUCAAAUCCAACCGAUCUGUACCAAGCCAUAUAAUUGCGACUUGAUUUUUCUUCAGUUGGCAUCACAACGUCAGUUAAGACAUGGUCUUGGCGGUGCUUCCAUUUGCGGAACUCAGAUCUAGCGAAGCUUUGCCAUGGGUUAAAGUUCCAUUGGUCGUUAACUUCGCGUAUAUGUCAUUCUCCUAGGUUUGCCUGGGGAUCUGGGAUGUGUUGAAGCGUAUUGAAUUGCAAUUUAACACGGUCAUUAUUGUGUAUCUCCACAGUGGUGAAUCUUAUGAUCGAUGUGCAUGCAGUCCAAACGGCUGCGUCUUAUUCGUUGAUUUCAUGGUCAUGAUCCAAGUUUAGAUAUGGACGCCAAAUGAACUGAAAUGUGAACAUAUAUUAGAUUAUAAAUUUGGUAGAAGAAAUUAACAAAUUUUUACAAAAUAAUUAGGUUAAUGGCAAUACAUCAGUCGGUCGAAGGUCAUCCAAGAGGUUGUGAUACUGGGUAAUACAGUGUCUAGGACAUCUGUUAUAACUCAUACCACAUGCCGAUCAUCUGCACCAUAAAAGUAAAAAUAUUAUUUAGAGAUAAUAAUCGAUAAAGUAAGUAAAUAUAGUCCAUUUUUAAGAACUUACUUUUGUGCGUAUGUGAAUGAGUUGUUGUUGGUGGGCGCUAGGGACGGUAGUCUGGACCAACCCCAUGCUUGGAGCAAAACAACACAUCUAGAAAAUGUAGAUGUGUCUUUGUGUGCAUUUUUAUACAAAGAUCUAUAAAGAUAAGUCAAAACAAGUGGACCCCAACUGUAACUUCCUAUUCUAUCUACAUGUCUUAGUAAAAGUAAAUAAAUAAUAUGCAUACUAGAACCACUACCUUCGGGAAAUAAAAAUAAACCAAUUAAAAGCAUAAUGUAACACUUAGUUUUUAUUAUUCGAGCCUCUUCGGUAGAAUUCUCAUCUAACUGUAAGCUGUUAUAAUAUGCCUUAAGACGUGAAAGGAGUAUACUUUGACCUCUCGAGUUAUCAUCUAACAAAUCAGCAUCCAAGAGGUCCAUGCAAAUUUAAUUCGCAUAGUUGGUUUUACCAUUUACCUCCCUGCCUUCGAUAGACAGUCCCAAUAACAUGUAGACAUCUUCUAACGUCACAAUAUAUUCACCGGUUAGAAACCAGAAUGUGUGUGUCUCGGGACGCAAUCUUUCACAUAAUGCAAGAAUAAAUUUAGUAUCCAUCGACCAAGACAUUAUUUUGCUUAUAUGUCCAAAACCGGCGAGUUCGACAUACGGUUGAAUCAUCGGGUCCAUGUGUACAAAUUCGUGGACCCGAGUUCGAAACCUAGAAACAUCCUAAAAAAGAAACAACAAAAUACAUUACUUUAUAAAAGAUAAACAACAAAUUAAGUAUCAUUAUUAAAAAUUAUUCUAGAACAAUAAUACAAGAAUUAAACGCUUACAUAGUUGUUAUGUUUGCAACUGCACCUCUGUGCGAUUUACUCAUAGUGAGGAGAGACAUCUUGUCGGAGUAAAUAUAUGAAACUGUGGUUUUUGCAGAUGAAAGUUAUUGUUGUAGAGGAAGAAGUGAUUAUUGGUGUGGAAAAAAUGUGAGACUUGCAUGACUAUUUACAAUGAGUGACAUGCAAAGACAUGCAAAAGUUUGAAGGCAUGGAUAAUAGUGCUUGCAUGUUAGCGCCAAAUGGUUUGACUUACACAUGCAAAUGUAACAUGCUAACGCCAGUCAAACUAGCGCCUCCUGGGCUUGCAUGCAUGCAUGGUCUUCACAUAGCCUGGCGCCUGCAUGGCUAUCUGCAUGUGUAGUUACGAGGUCUGCAAGGCGCCACAUGGACUGGCGCCCAUGUACAAGGAAUACAUGCUAAUGUCAUUUGGACUGGCGCUAGGGCUUGCAUGCUUUCCACAUCACUUGUCUAUUUAAGUGUCUUACUAUUUACAUCCUACAAUUAACACAAAUUCAUCUGCACCAAAAUAUUUACUUUUCAUUUGCACAAAAAAUAUUACAAUGUCAUCUGCACCAAAAUAUACUAUCAAUGUUCACUGCAACGGUGAGACAUAUGAGUUUGAUCUAUACGGUUUUUUUUCGAAACACCAAUACUAUCCAACUUACGAUAAAGAGAAAUUCAGAUUUCUUGCAUUUGAAAAAACAAAUUGAAUCCUGCAUAGGAUUUGGUCUUGUGUCACAAAUCACGUAUCAAAAUCCAAUUUUUUUCGAGAAUGUAACACCCCAAAAUUUGCCCUCCUUAUUCACGCAUUCAUUUUUAGGUCAUUUAACAUUAGAUACAUUGCAUUUCAUCAUGUCAAUCGGGAUUAGCUCCAAGAAGUUUGAACAUCAUCCAAGACACUUUGUGGGUCCUAUCUGGGUGAUCAGUCAACACAAGGGAAUGACUUGAGAUACUUCCAACAUGUUCAAAUGGGGUCUAUUCAUCAGUCAAAACGUUAAUCUUGAAGGAGCAAAACUUUGUUCAUGAACUGUCAUGCUCGGCGAAGCCCACGCGUUUCGGAAAAAAAAUAAAAAAAAACGGAAAAAACAAAAAAAAAUAAAAAAAUAAAAAAUAAAAAAUAAUUAAUUAAAUUAAUAAAUAAAUAAAUAAAAUAUAAUAGAAAAAUCUUGGACUUGGACCUCUCUCAUUUGAGCCCACAAAGCCAUGAAAAUCAGGUUAUAAAAGAGGGAGAACAGACAGAAAAAGGAAGAGAAGCAAAACACUCUGAGGUUUCCUUGGAACAAAACCCUGGACAAAACCUGAAGAGAAACCUAGACAGAGAGAGUGAGAAUUAAUCUGCAGUAACCUCCAGGCAACUCUGAAAGGUUCAUUCUGACUCACACACUUUCAGCUCAAGCAAACCCUAACAUUGGUUUGCAAAUCCAGCCGUGCCAUUUGAUUUCAACCGAUCUCUCCAAUCAGGUUUGCCCUAUAUCCAUCAUCUUUAUGCCUUUAAUUUGAAUGCUCUAAAUGUAUGAGGUAUUAUGGGUGAAUUUGAUACCCUUUUGAUGCAUGUGUUUGACAAGAGGUUUAGGCCUCCUACCCUUGGUUGCUUUUUGUGAGCUUUUUGUGAAUUUUAAUGGCAUGAUUCAUGUGGUUACAUUUUGAUUUGGGGGCAACUCUUGGUUACCCUAUUUUGUUUCUCUAACCUGUUUGUUGAGUUUUGUUUUGUGAGGGCUCAUAUGACUCUUGCAGAGAUGGUUUGCCUGGUGUUCCACUUUAUUUGUGGGAUACCGCCUGGAGGUUUCAUUCCGAUUACCUGUACUGACUCACUUUCUUUAAUGGUGUUAGCUUGGGAGGAUCUCAGGGUUUCCUUGUUCCGUUAAUUACUGUUACUUCGGAUCUUUAUCCGUGUGGUACUUUUACAUUUUCCCGUAUUUUUACCGUUUUCUUAGCUGGAAGACCUCAAUAGGAGGCAAUGUUUUGUGUGUUUACUUUAUGCAGGUUCCUUCGUCUAGGAUUUUCCUUCUGCAUGAGCAUCCCUAACCCUACCAACUCAUUGAUUUUUCUUCUCCUAAGAACACGUUAACUCCUUCUACUACAUGCGAGUAAGUCUCCAAAGGUCGAGAAUCCGGUAGAUUGCGUAGUAACGUCGUUCGUCCAAAACCCAAUCCAUAACCCCGUAGUUAGCCGAACUACGGCUUGCUCUGAUUCUCAUUCCAGAUGAGAUACGUAGGCAUAAGACGCGAUGUCUUAGCGAGCACACAUCCCCCCAACCCAUAGGUCAGCCGAGCUACGAAGACUCUGAUUCUCAUAUUCAGAUGAGAUACGUAUGCAGUGGAUGCGACAUCCGCGCGAGUCAUUUUCAUUUAACCCUUUUUUUUUGGUAAACAGCACAAGAUAAACUCACACCCUUUAGACAAGAACUACAAAAGUGGAUCCCGUAGAGUACUACGGAUGCGUAGGGGUGCUAAUACCUUCCCUUCGCAUAACCGACUCCCGAACCCAAGAUUUGGUUGCGAGACCCCGUCUUGUCCUUUCCUUUUUCAGGUUUACUUCGAGCGUUUCCUUUCCCUCCUUUGGGAUGAAUAACGCACGGUGGCGACUCUUCUGUCAUUUUCUUUCGCCGGUUGUUUUUUCGCGCACUGUAUUUUUCAGGUUGCGACAGCUGGCGACUCUGCUGGGGACUCGGAAGUUGACCUCUUGCUGGUCCAUCUUCCCUAAGCGAGUCCCUCCUAGCUUUUGUGAUUUCUUGUUUAUUGGGUGUUCAUGCUUUUGUACAUUUAUUUACUUACUUGCUUGCAUUCAUCUGCUGUAUCUGUUGGAGCUGUUGUUUGUUUGUUGGGAUGGGAUGUUCUACGAGAGAUAAGCCCAUUACCCAGGCUUGAGUGUACACACAGGUUUUAGAGUGGAUGAUCAUGAGGCUUGCGUGGCAUGUUGCUACGUUAAGUCGUUCGUGAAGAACCACACCCAGACGAGGUUUCUUUUGGAUAUAUUAUGUCCUACGGAUGUUCCGUAACGACAUGAUGUUCCUUUAGAAAUCGUCGACUCUGGUGACCAUUUCCCGAGAACUCAGUCGAGGCCUCUCCUCCGAGACGUGAUUAUGUUAGCUCUGGUGGGCGCAUUCUCGCUGAUCAAUCCGAGGACCCCGAGACUGGGAACUUGCUUUAGGAUGUCCUGUUGAGGGGAGUCAGUGGAGGUCUUUUAUCCCGUAAUAAUGCCAAACCUUCAGUGGUAAACGUAUUAUUCGCGACUGAAGGGCUGAAGCUGACGAACUUCUGUUCUUAGAACCUACCAGUGAGGGGUGGGCUAAAUUCAGGAAACCUUAACCUCCAACCAACCCGGUUUUCUGGAGCAGAGUUUUGGUCUUGUAUUAUAUUCCUCAGUGAAUUUCUCUCCAGGAAGUGCAACCUGACAGAUGUUCAAGCGGAUCCAUCAAUUCUGAUUGACAUGCCUUUGCAUUGCAUAACAUCAUCUGCAUAUUUGCAUCCAACAUCUCAUGCUUAUUCAUUUGCAGGGUAUUCCCUUUCAAAACGGGGGUGCCUUAAAACUGAACAAGCAGUGCAUCGCAUACCAUGCAUAUUAACCCUUGUCUGUUUUGCAGGUGUCACCGCAGUGUCUAAUGUUUGUUCCCUGUAUCAGGCAGUUAUUGGUCCCAAGCGAGUUCACAGAUACCCGACAAAGGAAAACCGUCCACGACUAGCGAUGGACCAAGUACAGAAAGAGCUGGCUGAUAUGCGUGAAAGGAUGGAUCAGUUCAUGACAUUGAUGACUGGUAUGGCAGAAGGCCAGGAAAAGCUGAGGGAAUUGGUUGAGCAACCGAGACCCGAUCCGGAGGUGGAGAUACCAAAUGCUGAGGGAAACCCUGGUAACCCUGGGAACGCUGAUAACCCUGUGAACACUGGUAACGCGGGUAACGCAAAUGCUGAUGGAAACCCGGGUAAUGUUGGCAACACAGGGAAUGUUGGAAAUGGUAUUGGCGGAAGGUACAAUGUGAAUCAAGGAAUUCGGAUUAACGGGCACCCCGUUACUGAAGAUUAUCAGUAUGAUCAAUUUUCUUUGCACGACGAGGCCCUCGAGACCACUCGCCGUAUGGAUGAGCUUGCUGAGAAGCUCAAAUCUUUGGAGUCUCAAAAUUCCUUAGGCUUUGAUGUCACAAAUCUUGGUCUGGUUCAGGGAGUAAGGAUUCCUCACAAGUUCAAACCCCCUACUUUUGAGAAAUACAACGGGGCUUCUUGCCCACGCACUCAUCUCCAAUCUUAUCUGGGAAGGUUGGGAGCUCACACGGAAGAUGAAAAGCUGUGGAUGUACUAUUUUGAAGACAGUCUAACUGGAGCUUCUCGUGAAUGGUAUUCUCAUUUGUCUCGUACUACCAUCAAGAGCUGGAAAGACUUGGCAGAGGCUUUUGUCAAGCAAUAUCAAUACAACUUGGACAUGGCUCCAAAUCGGACCUUGUUGCAAGGUAUGUCUCAGACUGCCAAGGAAACCUUUAGAGAGUAUGCUCAGCGUUGGAGACAGAUUGCUGCGUCCGUCCAACCCCCUAUGUCUGAAAGGGAGAUGGCGGACAUGUUCAUGAACACUCUUCAAGGCAAUUAUAUUGAGAGAUUGGCUGCUUGCCCGUCAAUCAGCUUUGCAGAGAUAGUAAUUGCUGGAGAAAGAAUCGAGAGUCUGUUGAAGAUGGGCCGAAUUCAAGACAAUAGUGCUUCCAACUCAUCAGGUCCCAAGAGACCGUUUGCUGGUAACGGUCAGCGAAGAAAAGAAGGCGAGGCAAGCGUUGUGUAUGCCGGCAGAGGCAGGGGUAGAGGACGCCCUAAUUAUUAUCAAGAUCAAGUGGCCGCAGUCACUAUUCCAACACCUGUUCCUCAACCGCAAUAUCAUCCGCAACAACAACCCAGGUACAACAAUCAACAACAAGGAGGUAAUCCGGGUCAGCAGAGACACUAUCAACAACGUCCAAGGCAGACGGACCGGGUCAUCGAGCCAAUCCCAAUGCCUUAUUCAGUAUUACUUCCCAAGCUGAUUGACAUGAAUCUGGUUACGUUGAGAACUCUGGCCCCACCAAUCGAUCCCAAUAAUUUGCCUAGAGGUUAUGAUGUCAACGCCAGAUGUGCUUUUCACUCCAACGCACCUGGCCAUACUACAGAUAAUUGCAAGGCUCUCCAGUUAAAGGUACAAGAUUUGAGAGAUGCCCAGGCUAUCAAUUUUGCUCCGGUGCCUAAUGUUAUCCAGAACCCGAUGCCGGCUCACGGCGGGCAGAGGAUUAAUGCUGUUGAUAGUGGGGAAACUUUGAAUUUGGUUUCUGAUGUGACUAAGGUGAAGACUUCGCUAUCGGUGGUUAAAGACCGACUUCUGAAAGGACAGAUUUUCCCGGGCUGUGGGGAAGAAUGCAGAAAUUGUCAAGCUGCCGAAAACGGAUGUGACAGUUUGAGAAGGGGUAUUCAGCAACUGAUAGAUGAAGGUUGUCUUCAGUUCGAUCAGGCCCGUCCAGUGAAGAAUGAUGUAUCGACGGUGACGUUUUAUUUCACUCCUGAAGAAAUAUAUGUUCCCGAGAGACUCGCUCCGACAACAAUAUAUUUCCCAGAAAGUACAGAACCAGCAGCGGUGAACAUCGAAAGUUCAGCACCAGUUGCAAUUUACUCUGACAGCCCUCAACCGACUUUGGUUGGUCCGAUCACCAUCACAAUACCAGGACCCGUUCCGUAUGAGAAAGACAGUGCUAUCCCGUGGCACUAUGGGGCUGAUAUCUACUGCCAGGGGCAGAAAGUUAACGAAGAAGACAUUGACAUUGGUAGCUCCGCUGUAGACAAUGUUGGAGGAAUUGGUGGCUUCACUCGCAGUGGACGCCUAUUUGCACCAUCAACAUUGCGCACGAAUGUUGAAGCUGAGGCAGCUUCCAAGGCUAAAGGAAAACAGGUAUCCACCGAAGAGGUUACUAUCGAGGAAGUUCCUCCUAAGACCGCAUUCGAGAAGGAAGUGGAUGAGUUUAUGAGGAUUAUCAAGAAAAGUGACUACAAGAUAGUCGACCAGUUAAAUCAGACACCCUCAAAGAUCUCCAUUCUCUCACUAUUGAUGUGCUCUAAGGCACACAAAGCAGCCUUGUUGAAAGUACUGAAUAUGGCUUAUGUUCCCCCAGAGAUAAUUGUUGACCAGCUGGAGUCGAUAGUUUCGAAUGUACACACUAGCCAUGCGCUAGGUUUCACCGAUUAUGACCUAACAUCUGAGGGCAGGAAUCACAACAAAGCCUUGCAUAUCACAAUGGAAUGCAAAAAUGUACACACUAGCCAUGCGCUAGGUUUCACCGAUUAUGACCUAACAUCUGAGGGCAGGAAUCACAACAAAGCCUUGCAUAUCACAAUGGAAUGCAAAGGGACGGUGCUUUCCCAUGUUUUGGUUGAGACAAGUUCUUCUCUGAAUGUUCUCCCAAAGAAAGCCUUAACGAAGUUGGAUUGCGAUGACGCCACCCUGAGGCCGAGUAAUUAGUUGUAAGGGCCUUUGAUGGCUCUAAGCGAGCUGUUUGUGGCGAAGUUGAGUUGCCAGUUAAGAUUGGACCGCAGGUAUUCAAGAGUACCUUUUAUGUGAUGAAUAUCCAGCCUGCCUAUAGCUGUCUGCUAGGUCUGUAACACCCUGAUAAUAAUAAAAUAAUUAUUUAAAUUGAGUUAAUAAUUUAUUUAUUAAUUUAAUUAAAUAAUUGGAAAUUUUAUUAUUAUUACUAUUAUUGGAAAAUAUAUAUAUGUUGGAAAUAAGGAAAAGAGCCCAUUUGGAGUAAAAAGGUUUUUACGUGAAAAACAGAGAAACGAUCGUGAAAGAGGAAAAGGGCAAAGAGACAGAGCAAGGGCUGAAGGUUGAAGAGAGAAAAGCUUGGAGCUCAAAGAUUCGCCGAAUUAACUCAGGUAAGGGGGGUUUAUCGUCGUUUAAUGGGUAUUAUGGGUUAGCAUGUAAUGGGUAGUGAUAAGCCGUUGAAUUGACCCUAAUUGGGAUUAUGAAUGCUGGAAAAUUAUGUUGGAUAAACUGUGUUUAGGCUGUAAUUGAAUCUGUGUUUGGGUUAGUUGUGAAUUUCCGAACGUAUAGCUUUUUACGGAAUUGGAAUCGGAGGUCCGGAAGUCCUCCAACGGCGGAAAAUGCGGAGAAUUCUGCAUUCUGCCUUGUGUUAGCGCAGGAACAGCUUCUGUCUUGCGUUAACCGGUUAACCCAGGGUGUUAACCGGUUAACACUGUUAUGUAUUUUGAAUAAUUGCUGUUUUGUCUGCGUUAACCGGUUAACCCAGGGUGUUAACCGGUUAACACUGUUNNNNNNNNNNNNNNNNNNNNNNNNNNNNNNNNNNNNNNNNNNNNNNNNNAAAAAGAAGAAGAUCUGUGGCUAACAGGCAUCGGCCCAAAAGUAUUUUGGUAAUCCACCCUCAUUAAGCAUUGUUCUUGCCAACUCUCUAAAACACGAUUUUUACGUCCACAACGCAUUUUGUUGUGGAGUGCGAGGGCUGCAAAAGUUAUGCUCAAUGCCAUACUUGUCACAAAACUUCUCAAAGUGAUAUUUUGAAACUCACCACCAAUGAUCGCUACGAAUUGUAACUAUUUUGGAAAUUCAUUUUGUUUUGGACAGAUUUGCAAAUUUUUAAAGCAGAAAAUUUCAUCUUUGCUAUGAAGGAAUAUAGUCCAAGUGAAUCUAGAGUAUCAUCAACUAUUACAAAGCCAUAGUAAUUUCCACCUAGGCUCUUUGUCCUAGAAGGUCCAAAGAGGUCAUAUGGAGAAGCUCAAGGUCGUGAAGUUGAAAUUACAUUUUUGAUUUAAAAGACACCCUUGUUUGUCUUUCCAUUUGGCACGCGUCACAUAGUGGUCUUUUGAAAAUUUUAUUUUGGUAAGACCGACUACUAGAUCCUUAGAUACAACCUUGUUUAGCAAAUGCGAAGUUAACAUGAGCUAAACGUCUUAUGCCAAAGCAAGAAUCAUCAUUCAAGGUGACUAGACAUUUAGUAUUUGUUAACGGUACAUCAAACAAGUCAAGCAUAUAGAUAUUGUUUACUCUUACACCCUUAAACACAAUGUUUUGUUCAGCAUGUUCAAUUAUGCACCAAGUUUUUGUAAACGAAACUUUUAGCCCCAUGUCGCAUAGUUGACUUAUUGCUUAACAAAUUGUUUUAAGUCCCCUCAACUAAAUGGAUAUUUGAAAUAGUAGUGGUGGAGGGAUUACCUACACUACCUUUGCCGAGUAUAGCUCCUUUGUUGUUGUCUCCAUAAGUAACAUAUCCCUUUUUUCUUCGCCUUGAAGUCUAUAAAGCGAUAUGUACCGGUCAUGUGCCUUGAGCAGCGCCGCUGUCAAAACCAUCUUCUAUCUACGGGGCAAGGCACUCAUCCUACAACAACAAAAGAGAGAAGUUGGUCCCCAAUUUUCAUUGGGUCCAAGAGGGUAAGUGUUAACAUGGUUUGCCUUUUGGCUUCCAUUGAUAAAUACCUUUUAGGGACUAGAAAUCUCCUAAAUUUGCAUUUCUCAAUGGUAUGGCCAGCAUGACAACAAUAAUGACAUAAACCAUGAUGAUGGUUUGUUGUUUCUUGUUCAUUGAAUCCUUUAGAAUAAAAGAGUAUUUUGCAUAUGGAGGAUUCAAUGACUUCUUAAACAACAUGGGUCCAGCGGCAUAAGUAAUUUUAGGUUGUAGCGGCUUUCUCUAAUUUGACCUUAAGAGUGUUUACCUCUUUUUGCCAAACAUAACAAGCGUCACAAUACCUAACUCUACUACAUCCGUCAAUGUCAAUAGUUUUUGAAUUUUCUGCAAUACUAGUUUUCAAUGCUUCUAAAUCAUUUCAGCUUUGUUUACUUUCCCUUCCAAAAAGGAGAAGAUUGUUUGUCGGCAAGCUAGUCGUUUAAAGCAUCUACAGCUUCGUUAUGCAGUUUUUCAAAGCUAUUUUAAUUCCGAAAAAGACAUAGAGGAGAAAUUAUUGUAGUAGACUUGUUUUCCUUUUUUCAUUGUUUUUCUUCUUGUGGUAGGACAGAUUUUUAGUGUGAGCCAUAAGGCACAGAUUUGCAGCUUCAUCACCAUCACUGAGCUUUGUGUGCUUGAUGAAUCACUAUCACUUUCCCAUGCAAUAUACGCUCUUCUUUGUUUGCUGUACCUUUUGGUGAAUCUUUUCUUUGGUCCUUAUACUUCAUAGGGCAGUCCGUUUUAAAGUGUCCGGAUUUACCACAAUUAAAGCAUGAUCCUCUUCCUCUACUCUUCUUGUUCUUCUUCUUGUUUCGGAAUUUAUAGAUUGUCUUCGAAAUUUCAUGAGAUUUUUGUCGAAUGUUUGACUCCAUUCUUUCGAAUGAAUCUAUUGUAUCUUCUUACAAACAGUCCCAUUUCCUCAUCUUCCGAGUCUUUGCACACUUGAAUCAUUGUCGCUUUGCUCUUUUCGUGAGAGACUUUAGAGCUAGAGCCAAGAGCUAUUGGCUUCUUCUCUCCCUCUUUGUCUCUUUCUUUCUCCUUUUCCUUCUUACUUUUUAUUCUCAUAUUUUUCAAGACUUUCCAAAGCUUGCUGAUGUUCUUCCAGCUUUCUCUUCAAACAGUGUUGUAAAUCGUAGUCUUGUAAAGAUCGUUGGCUUCCUUGAUUGCUGUAACUUUAGGUGCCACUCCUGCUAAGACACCUGAGAAUUUUAUUAGUAGCAAUUUCAUUGGAAAUAGUUUUCAAGAGCAUUCAAUCGGUUAGUUAGAUGGGUGAAUCUCUUUGCAUGUCGGAGAUGGAUUUCCUUGUUUAAUGCGAAAGAGCUCAAUCUUGAUUGAGUGUGUUAAUGCGGGACUGUUUUUACUUCAGUAGUACCCUCAUGGGCAACUUUCUAAAGCGUCCCAACAUUUCUUUAGCUGUCGUGCAAUGGGAUACUCGAUAAACUCAUCAACACCAAGUGCUGAAAUUAACAUGUUUCGAGCUCUCCAAUCACACAACCACUUUUCCUCAUCUUUCUCAUUGCCAAUCAUCUUCUGGUUUAGGUACUAUGGCGCCAGCCGCAUUAGUCAUUGUAAUUGAAAAUGGACCGUUUUCAUGGCAGCCCAUACUAACCUAUCACAGAAUUUAUAUGAACUCGCAUGCAGUCUUUCCAGUAGCCAUAAUUUUCACCGUUGAAAAUAGGCGCUCUAUUUUACGCCCCCUUUGGUUCAGAAUCAUACUGUUACAGGCAGCCACAGAGCACCAGCGACCGGCGCUCUGAUACACUUGUUAGACGGUGUGGCUAGUUGAUGCGAGAGGGGGGGUGAAUAGAUCACCUCUUUUAAAGUUAACGGAUUUAACGUUUUAUCAGAGUUUUCAAAAAUGGCGGAAAAAUCGGUCCCGAAUCGACUUCCGUCUAUUCUGAACCGCUACUAGAAAGCGACACACAAGUGUAAUUGCUGAUUUUAAUGAGAAUGACAGAAACAAUCCACACCAAAUUUUAAACUAAUUGAAAUGCACUUUCUUAAAGUCUAUUUCCAAUGAAUAAAAAUCUAGCUAACCGUUUUAUCAAACAUUGGUGUGUGUGUGAUCGUUAAUGAACAGCAAUGGAGUUUGAUUAAAGUUUCUUGCCACUGCUGUCUUGAAAAAGAAGCAAUCACCACACACUAACUGAUAUUGCGAAAACAGUUUGAAAAACGUAAAAGAGGAGUAAGGUAAGAAUACGAUACGCAGAGAUUUGGUAAGGAAGUUCCCCACGUGUCCUCGCGUGUGGGUACGUCUCCCUCUCAAUUUCAAAAGAAAUUGAGAACUUGAUAUUCAAUUAUUGCGAAUCCGUUGAUAAAUGGUUUUGAUACAAAGACAGAAUUCUAAACUCUAGAACCUCUUCUUGUAUAACCUUCACUUGAUCUGAGCUCGAUCAAGAUUUUCCUGCACAAAGUUGCAAACAAUUCACGCGUUCCACGACCUGCUUGCGAAAUCCCCGAUCUCCAAACGCAAACGCUGGGCGGCUGAAUAUGUUCUGCAAAUGUGACUCCCAAACCCUCAAGAACACACCAGUUCUUGAAGGACAAACCAGUAGGUUUUUCCUAGAAACCCCCUUCAAUCUUCGACUCAGCUAGAUCUCGAUCGUUCCACUGCAACCACAGCUAGAUCCUUGAUCGUACACUGAACGUUAUCUCUCAAUGCUUCUUUAAUCCAAAGAACAAGAAUUGUUAUGUGUAAAUGUUCUUGAAGAAAAGUGAUUGAGAAGAUGAAGAAGAUGAAGUCUCUUUCAGGUUUCUAUGUGCUCACAAACAAUGGCUCCAACACUGCUUUUGAUCUGUGUUCAAUUGUUUCCCUCAUGAUUCGUCACCUCAUCUGCUUUUGAAACCUGUUCUUAUAUUCUGCAAAAACAGUUGCUGUUAUGACUUAAAACAACUUUGUGUAUUGAGCAUGGGAGUGUGUAUCGAUACAUACUGUAAGUUGUGUGAAUAUUUGGUGAAAUCAAUUACUAUGUAUCGAUGCAUAAGUCGUGUGUAUGAUGCAUGUGAUUUUUACACUGAUAUGUAUCGAUGCUUAAUGCUGCAUUUAUUGAUGCACAGGCAGUAUCAAGUAGUCCUGUAUCGAUGCAGGAAUCGUGUGUAUCGAUACAUAGAGUUUUUGGCCUUCCAUGUAUUGAUGCAUGGCUCGUAUGCAUCGAUGCAUACUGAACAGAAAUUGUUUUGUGAUUAAUCACAGGUUACAUGUAUCGAUGCAAAGGCUCAUGUAUUGAUACAUACUGAUAUAAAAUGCAUUUUAAUAGUUAUUUUAAGGGAAUUUUCAAUGUAGAUUUAUAUGUAUGUUUAUGCAACAGUAAAGUGGGAUGAAGGACAAAGUAAGAACACAAAUAUAUCAUGUAAUGCAAUGCACAACUAAUUUGGUGAUGAUCACACAAUUUGCUAUCAUUAAAAGUUAUUCAAGUUAAAGAAUUCUUUCAACAAAUUUAUCUGUUGUGGUACUUUUACAUUUUCCCGUAUUUUUACCGCUUUCUUAGCUGGAAGACCUCGAUAGGAGGCAAUGUUUUGUGUGUUUACUUUAUGCAGGUUCCUUCGUCUAGGAUUUCCCUUCUGCAUGAGCAUCCUAACCCUACCAACUCAUUGAUUUUUCUUCUCCUAAGAACACGUUAACUCCUUCUACUACAGGCGAGUAAGUCUCCAAAGGUCGAGCAUCCGGUAGAUUGUGUGUAACGUCGUUCGUCCAAAACCCAAUCCAUAACCCCGUAGUUAGCCGAACUACGGCUUGCUCUGAUUCUCAUUCCAGAUGAGAUACGUAGGCAUAAGACGCGAUGUCUUAGCGAGCACAAUUACCCUUAACCCCUAGGUAGCCGAGCUACGAAGACUCUGAUUCUCAUAUUCAUAUGAGAUACGUAUGCAGUGGAUGCGACAUCCGUGCGAGUCAUUUUCUUUUGACCCUUUUUUUAGUAAAUAACACAUUAGAUAAACCCACACCCUUUAGACAAGAACUACAAAAGUGGAUCCCGUAGAGUACUACAGAUGCGUAGGGGUGCUAAUACUUCCCUUCGCAUAAUUGACUCCCGAACCCAAGAUUUGGUUGCGAGACCCUGUCUUGUCCUUGUUCCUCCUUUUUCCAGGUUUACUUCGAGCGUUUCCUUUCCCUCCUUUGGGAUAAAUAACGCACGGUGGCGACUCUCCUGUCUUUCUUCGCCGGUUGUUUUUUUUCGCAUUCCAUUUUUCAGGUUGCGACAGAGAACAGUCAAUGCAAAUUUUUCCCGCUAAAGGUACGGGACGAUGAAGACGUUGAAUAUAUGUUUGUUAGUCACGAACAUUCUGGUUGCAACUCUAUUGAGUUAUAUAUUACUCUUCAACCAAGUAUACCAUAUCAACAAUCUCAGAUAACUAAUCAAGUUGAAUCUAAUGAAUUUAAUUUAGAAAACUCAGAUGAAGUCGACCUAGGAGCAGAAGCAGAAGCAGAAGUCAACUUCGUUGAUGAAGAAGAAGAAGAGACCGAGUCACAUGUCGAUCAUAUGUUGAACAACAACAUUGAAGAUGACGAUCAUCCAGCGCCAUUACCUACAAGUCAUGUAUAUAAUCUGCCUCAACAUAUGACAAACAUGAAUCUGCAUGACGAUGAAACAUCCAACAAUGUUUUUUAUAAGCUGUAUCCACGAUCAGAGGGUGAGUUAAAAGUUGGAGACAUGUUCCACACUAAAGAAGAAUGUGUGUGAGCUAUCAAAAAAUUUUACACGAAUAACUCUACUGAUUUCACUGUGAAACACACUGAUUUGAGAAGGUAUGUCAUCGAAUGUCGUAACAUCCUUUGCAAUUUUUGGUUGGCUGCGUCUCACAAGAAGAGAAACGACUCUUGGGAGAUAGCUUCUAUAGACACACCUCACAGUUGCAUUGCAACUAAUGUUGUAUAAGAUCACCGUAAAUUAAGCCCUGCAUUGAUAUGUCAAUACAUUUUUCCGCUUGUUAACAAAGACCCAUCAAUGAAGGUGAGUAUAAUAAUAUCUCAUAUCGUCACAAGAUAUAAUUAUACUCCGUCUUACAAGAAAGCAUGGAUUGCAAGGGCAAAGGUUGUUAAACAGGUAUUCGGAAACUGGGAGGAUUCAUACAAAAAAUUGCCACGGUUUUUAUGGGCACUAAAAACAUACGCACUAGGAACCGUUGCAAUUAUGGAGACAUUGUCAGCAUUUACGCCAGACGGAACCUGUGUUGCUGGAAAUAGAAUCUUUCACCGUCUCUUUUGGGCAUUUGAACCGUGCAUCAAAGGUUUUGCAUUCUGCAAACCUAUUAUUCAAAUUGAUGUUACAUGGUUAUAUGGAAAAUACAAUGGUACUUUGCCUAUGGUUGUUGCACAAGAUGACAACAAUAAUGUCUUUUCCAUUGCCUUUGCUCUGGUUGAAGGUGAAACCGCUGGUGGUUGAGGUUUCUUCCUUCGACAUCUCAAAACACAUAUUGCCCCACAAACCAAUCUUUGUUUGAUUUUAGAUAGACAUGCUGCCAUUGAGAGUGCUUACAAUAACCAUGAUAACGGAUGACAUGAUCCUCCUUCUACCCAUGUCUAUUGCAUUAGACAUAUCUCAUAAAACUUCAUGCGUGCAAUCAAAGACAAGAACCUUCGCAAAAAAGUGGUGAAUGCAGAGUAUGCUCUAACUCAGCUGUCAUGUCAACAUUACCGUGACGAAAUUAAAUUCUCUAAUGCAGAUGCAUGAAGGUGGGUGGAUAACAUACCAGUAGAGCAGUGGAGAAGGGCAUUCGACAGAGGUUGUCGAUGGGGUCACAUGACAACAAACCUUGUGGAAUGCAUGAACGGCGUAUUCAAAGACAUUAGAAAUCUACCAAUAACCGCAUUGGUUAGAACAACCUAUUUUAGAUUGACAUCUACCUUCGCAACCAGAGGUGAAAGAUGGAGUGCAGUGUUAAUGUCAGGUCAAAUAUUCAAUGAAUGUUGUAUAAAAGUGAUGAAAGAGGAAAGUAUCAAAGUUAGCACACACGCGGUUACAGACUUUGACCGUCAUAGCCUCAUAGGUGAAGUUUCAGUGUACAUGAAACAAUGGACCACAAUGAGGGGAAGCUAAAUUUAUCCUAUGCUGUCAAACUAAAUAGAAGUUGGUGCGACUGUGGAAAGUUCCAGGCCUUCUGUAUUCCUUGCUCCCAUGUCAUUGCGGCAUGCGCACAUACUUGCCAGAACGCUUACAACUAUCUACCUGAUAUUUAUAAGGCUACCGUCAUGAAUGUGUAUAACAAAAGCUUCUCAGUGCUACCAAUGGAGGAAUACUGGGCUCCAUACGAAGGUGACAUAGUUUGGCACAACGAUGAGAUGCGAAGAAAGAAAAAAGGAUGGCCAAACAGCAUAUGUAUUAGAACAGAAAUGGAUACGACUAAUAAAAUGAUAAGAUUAUGUAGUAUAUAUCGUCAACCCAAACACAAUAAGAACAAAUGUCCCAAUCUAGGAGCAACAUCUGCAUCAUAAUUUAGUACCUCCUUUCAAUUUUUAUAACCUUGGAUUUUUGUAUAUCAUUAACUUUUUGUUACAACAAGGUUAACAACAAACAUCACUACAACAUAAGCACACUUAAGACAGAAGAAGUCCAAAUAAACAACACAAAAACCAAACAUCGAUUACAGAUGAAAAUACUUAACCAUAAUAUUUAAAAACAACAUUUAUAACUGAUUACAACAAUCAAAUUGAUGUCAUCUCGUUCAAACAACAUUUCCCUAGCAUCCUUAUUAGUUUUUACUCGCACUCAACCAAAUAUACUAUCGAGUCUCUCAAUACUUCUAAUUUUUUCCCCUUCUGGUAUUUUUCCAUCUAACCAACGAACCAGCUCCCUCUUCAGUUGAUCGAAACUACAGAUGUUCCAGAAGAGCAUCAACAACGGGGGCUUGUCUCUCGAAUAUACUUUUCCAUAGCGGCGACGAACACCAAACAUGCUUGUAAUAUAACGAAAUGAUAUGUGGAAAGAUGAAUCACACAACACCUCUAUUUAUAAAAAAAAUUGCACAUUACACUGAGGCGUCAAACCAAUUGACGACUCUUCUUCCAACUUACACAUUGGCGCCAAUUGAAUUGGUAGAACCAUGUGCUGUAGCCAAUCCAAUUGGCGCCCCCACUUAAAAUUUAAGGGUGAACGCUAAUUGGUUUGACGCCUAUGCCUUAUGUCUUUUUUUUUUGAAACUGGAGUAUAUUGGAGUUUUUUUGAAAAUUUGAUUAUUUUGGGAUUUUUUUUAAAUAUGAAAUAUUUGAGUAAAAAAUUUUAAAAAAAGACUUUUUAAAUUUAUUAAAUCAUCAAUCUAUCUAAUCCAUUAUAUUGAGGUUUUUUUACAAAAAUAACCCACUUUUUCAAGGAAAUUCCCAAAAUACCCCUGGUUUUAAAAAAAAUCCCAAAAUACCCCACUUUUAGGAGGAGUCGCCAAUUGAAUUGGAGACUCCUCUUAAACUUGAAUGGAGGCACCAAUUGGAUUGGCUAGGGCAGGUGCCCUAGCCAAUCCAAUUGGCGCCCCUGUGUAGGUUUUAAGAGGAGUCACCAAUUCCAUUGGAGACUCCUCCUAAAAUACAAUUUUUUUGUGUUUUAUGGUAUAAGUGAUAGAUAAAUUUGAUAUAAGACCACUUGAUAUUAAUAAAAUUUUCCGUUUACACAAAGAAACCUAAUGGUGAUGGUGAUAUAAGACCACUUGUGUUUUAUGGUUUUGUGAUGUUUGGCCUUCUUGGCUACGGUAGGAGGAGGGGCGUUGGUGUUGAAUGAUCGUUGGGUGUUCUGGCUAAGGCGACUUUGGUAGGGUGACAGGGUGGGUGUGAAGCGAUGUUAGGUCUCAGGUUGAUGGUCAAUUUGUUGGUGGUGGUAUGGGGUAUGCUCUUGGUAUUGGGGUUGGGUGAAUGACAUGCUUUGGUUGUAUGUUUAUGUGUUUGUGGAACGGAAAGUUUAACGGAUAGGGGGUUGUGAGUAACCGGGCUGACAAUGUUGUUGGAGGUUAGAUGUUGAUCCUUCUGGUGUGUAAGUUGCCUGGCGUGGGUCGUAUAGGUACAUAUCCUCGACGAUGAACUGAAAACCAACCGAUAUGUACCAAGCCAUAUAAGUAGGACUUGGUUUUUCUUCAGUUGGCAUGACUGUGUCAGUUAACACAUGGUCAUGAAGGUGCUUCUAUUUGCGACACUCCGAUCUUGCGAAGCUUUGCCAUGGAUUGAAGUUCCAUUGGUCGUUAACUUUACGCAGAUGACAUUCUCCUAGGCUAGCUAGGGGAUCUGGGAUAUUCUGGAGCAUACCGAACUGCAGCUUCACACGAUCACUGUUGUGCAUCUCCAUAGUUGUGAACCAUAUUAUCGGUGUGCAUGCAGUCCAUACGGCUGCGUCUUCAGUGUUGACCUCAUGGUCAUGUUCCAAAAUAAGGUAUGGAUGCCAAAUGAACUGAAAUAUGAAAGAAGAUAGGAUUAUAAUCAAUGUAGAAAAAGUUAACAAAAUAUAAUGAAAUAAUUAAGUUAUUUUGCUUACGUCUGUCGAUCGAAGGUGAUCCAACAUGUUGCGAUACUGAGUAAUACAGUGUCUUGGACAUCUGUUGUAACUCAUACCACGUGCAGGCCAUCUACACCAAAAAGUCAAAAAAAAUUAGUUAGAGGUAAUAAACUUUAAAGAAGUAAGUAAAGAUAUAGCAAUUUAAACAACUUACUUUUGUGCAUACGAAAAUGUGAAAGGGUUAUCAUUGACCAGUGCUAGAGAUGGUAGUCUUGACCAACCCCAUGAUUGUAGCAAAACAGCACAUCCAGAAAAUGUAGACGUGUCUUUGUGUGAGUUUUUGCACAACGAGCUAUAGAGAUAGGCUAGACAAGCAGAUCCCCAACUGUAACUUCCUAUUCUAUCUAUAUGUCUAAGUAGAGGUAAGUACAUAAUAUGCAUGCUAGGACCACUACCUUCGGGAAAUAAAAACGAGCCAAUUAACAGCAUAAUGUAACACCUAGUUUUUAUUAUUCGAGCAUCUUCGGUAGAAUGCUCAUCUAAGUAUAAACUAUUAUAGUACGAAUUAAGGCGGGAGAGUAGUAUACCUUGACCUCUUGCAUUAUCAUCUAACAAAUCAGUCUCUAAGAGCUCCAUGCAAAUUGAAUUUGCAUAGUUGGUCUUACCAUUAACAACCUUACCUUCAAUGGGUAGUCCUAAAAGCAUGUAGAACAUCUUCUAACGUCACGGUCACUCACCGGUUGGGAACCAAAAAUGUGUGUGUCUCUGGUCCUCCAUCUUUCGCAUAAAGCUAGAAUGAAUUUGUUAUCUAUGGACCAAGAUAAAAUCUGCUAAAAAUAUGACCAAAACCGGCGAGUUCAAACAUAAGGUUGAAUCAUCGGUCAUGGUAGGGAUAUUCACAAUGUCAUUCUCAUCAUUUAUAUAGUGUCAACGUUCACUGCAACAAUGAACAUACGUUGAGCUACAUGAGUUUUCUUUGUUUCGAACACCGAGUACGCAUUAGAAUCACCGACUAAGACGAAAUGCAACCUAUUCUUGCAUUUGAAAAAAGAAUACAAUCCUUUAAUAGGAAUCGAGUAUUGUGUCAAAGAUCACAUAAUCAAAAUUCCAAUAUUUUUUGAGAAUGGUCAAUGGCAAGUAUUUCGCCCUUAUAGGGUUUACGAGACGAACUGAAGAAUUUGAAAUACAUGUUUGUUAGUCAUGAACAUUCAGGCUGCAAACUGUAUUGAGUUGUUAGCAUUACUCUUUCACCAUGUAUACCAUCUCAACAGUCUGCACUAACGCGGGUCAGGAUGAAUCUGGUGAAGAUGAUCGACAAUGGUCAGAUGACCGUCAAACCAAAAGCAGAGGCAGAAGUGGACGUUCGUUGAUUUUUGAAGAAGAAGAGGAGAUCGAGAUACAGGUGAUCACAUGCUGAACAACGACGAUGAGAUGAAUGAUCAAUUCCACACCAAUAGCUCCUCAGUCAUGUCUAACAAUCCGCCUCAAACAUAUGAACAAAUAAUGGAUCUUCAGACGAUUGAAAAAUCCAACAGUGUUUUUUAUAAUCCGUAUCGAGAUCAGAAAGACGAAUUAGGUGGGAGCAUGUUUCGUACGCAAAGAAGAUGUGUUCUGGCAAUCAAAAAAUCCCACAUGAACAACUCUGCUAGAAUUUACAGUGACGUACUGAUUCUAGAAGUAUGUUAUCGAAUGCCGUAACAUGCUUUGUAAGUUCCGUUUGGCUGGCGUCUUACAAGAAGAAAAACGACUCUUGGGAGAUCGCUUCAAUAGACCCCACCGCAACAGUUGGUAUUGCAACUAACGUUGGAACAAGAUCACGACGUAACCUAAGCGCAACUUUGAUAUGUCAAGAUAAUUCUUGCCAUUGGUUAUAAAGACCCAUCAGUGAAGGUGAGUAUUGAAGGUGAGAAAAACAAGAAAGGGGGGGGGGGUUUGAAUUGUUUGAAAAAUAAGCGCUUUUGCAAAAUGAAUCAACACAAUGAUUUUAAAUACUGGUUCGCUUAAUAAACACAAAGCUACUCCAGUGCACCCGGCCAAGGUGAUUUCGCCUUCAACAACGGAACUUUAAUCCACUAUCUUGAAAGAUACAAAACAACCCCUAAAGAGAGAAGAAAAUCUCUUUAGUCCUCUCAAGUCUAUAGACUACAAGAGUCACUUUGAGGAAAUCAAAUAAAAAUUAGAUACAAGAUGUGUAAUCUAGAGUGCUUCUAAGAAAAGCAAAUAUUAACAAACUUAAGAAAACAAAUUUUUCACUUGAUAAGAAAAGGCUUAGUGAAAAAUCUUUGAAGAACAAAGAUGUUUUUUUGAGCGUGAUAUGAUUUUUCAGUUAUAGUUUUUGGCUAGUUUGUUUUUCCAUUGGGCUAUUACUUUUACUGAAUGAGAUUUCUUCUCUAUUUAUAGGAUUGAAGUAGAGUUGAAGGUAGCGUUGAUCUGUUGGAUAUUGAGAAUGUAGUUACGCCAUUCCAUUAAUAGCCUUCUGCAGUAGAACUUUUUCUCUUAGAAGUGACUACUUACCACAAUUAGUAUUAUUCUCUCUGGAAGUGGAAAAAAGAUUAACGUCCUCUUUCUAAUUUGAGGAAAAUCAUUUUGCAGAACUUUAACUUGGCUUAAACGUACUUCAUCAUGAUUUAACAAUUCUGAUUAGAGUCUUUGUGUAAUCUGGAGAAAACUGGCUUCUGAUGUUAUUUCUGAAAGUUUUCAAGAUGGCGCUGAUAACUUCAGAAUUUACAGACGGCAUUUGUUCAGAGUCAGAGCCUUCUAGACCUUUACUUCAUGUUCAGAUGCUUCUGAUUACUUUGUAAAGUUUUUGUCCAGAGUCAGAGCUUCUUGAAACGAGAUUCCACUUUAGAUGCUUCUGAUACUUGAGAUUUUGCAUCUGAUCUUGUUUUGCACGCUGAUGACAUCAUCAAGUUUAUUUUCUCUUUCUUUUUAGAACCCUGGCAUACACUUAGAAACUUUUUCCGUUAGGGUGCCAUUUUUGGGUUUCAUCCUUUGUUAUCAUAGAAGAAUCAUAGGAAUCUGUUGUAGAACAAUUUUUGUUCUUACAAUCUCCCCCUUUUUGAUGAUGACAAAACAAUUUUAAAAAUUUAAAAAAAAUCAGGAAUUUUUGAAAAAAAACAUGAAAAAUAUUAGAUCAAAAUAGACAAAAGCUCCCCCUGAGUUAGUAUUAGGGAUUCAGAAGUUCUUACCAGAGCUUUCCAAGCAAUGAGAUCUGAAAACAUUCUGCAAUUUCUUAAUUUUAAUGUUAGAGUUUUUUUAAUCAAAGCUAUUUAUAUCAGAGCUAAUUUUUACGAAUUGUUUGCAGAAAUGCUUAAGGUUUUAGACAUAAUUUUCAUCAGAGCUAUUUAAUAAUUUCUCCCCCUUUUUGGCAUAAUCCAAAAAGGCAUAAAAAUAAAAAGAAUAAUAAAGAGAAAAACAUUCAUAAAAGCACAAAGGCAAACAACAGUCAAAACAUUAGAUUCAACAGAAUAUCAGAGCUAAAAAGAAAGAACAGAAGCAAAAACACUUAGGCAAACAAACAAAAAUAAAAACGCUAGUGUAAGGGUUUGGAGGUUGAGGGAAGUCUCUGAAGCAACAUGGCAAACAUGUUCUGGAUGUUUUUCUUCAAAGCAUCUUGUUUUGUCCAUACCUGGCACGAAGCUCAAUUUUUCUGAUCUUUCUUGAUCUCUUUGCUGAUCUUGCUUGAUCUCCUUCAGAGUGUUAAGAAUCAGAGGGAUCGCAGAGGAAGAACUCCCCCUGUAGAAUCAGAGCUUGCUGAGCUUCAGCUUCUAGCUGCAGCUUGGGGCUUCUGCAUCUGCCUUAGCCUUGGCUUUCAGCUUCCUGAAUCCUUAGAAGUUCUGCUUCCUUUGCCAGGCGUUCUUCUUCCCAACCUCUUUGCUUCUGCUCAAGCUUCCCUGGCCAAACUUAUCUUUCCUCUCAAUGCUCUUAGCCCUCAGUUCUCUAGCCAGUCCCUCUAUCUNUUUUUUGAGAAUGGUCAAUGCAAGUAUUUCCCCCUUAAGGUACGAGACGAUGAAGAUGUUGAAUACAUGUUUGUUAGUCAUGAACAUUCAGGCUGCAACUGUAUUGAGUUGUACAUUACUCUUCAACCAUGUAUACCAUCUCAACAGUCUCACUAACCGGUCAGGAUGAAUCUGGUGAAGAUGAUCGACAAUGGUCAGAUGACGUCAACCCAAAAGCAGAGGCAGAAGUGGACGUCGUUGAUGAAGAAGAAGAGGAGAUCGAGAUACAGGUUGAUCACAUGCUGAACAACGACGAUGAAGAUGAUGAUCAACCACCACCAAUAGCUCCUAGUCAUGUCUACAAUCCGCCUCAACAUAUGACAAAUAUGGAUCUUCACGACGAUGAAACAUCCAACAGUGUUUUUUAUAAUCCGUAUCCGAGAUCAGAAGACGAAUUAAAGGUGGGAGACAUGUUUCGUACCAAAGAAGAAUGUGUUCUGGCAAUCAAAAAAUCCCACAUGAACAACUCUGCUGACUUUACAGUGAAACGUACUGAUUCUAGAAGCUAUGUUAUCGAAUGCCGUAACAUGCUUUGUAAGUUUCGUUUGGCUGCGUCUUACAAGAAGAAAAACGACUCUUGGGAGAUCGCUUCAAUAGACCCACCGCACAGUUGUAUUGCAACUAACGUUGAACAAGAUCACCGUAACCUAAGCGCAACUUUGAUAUGUCAAGAUAUUCUGCCAUUGGUUAAUAAAGACCCAUCAGUGAAGGUGAGUAUUGAAGGUGAGAAAAACAAGAAAGGGGGGGGGGGUUUGAAUUGUUUGAAAAAUAAGCGCUUUUGCAAAAUGAAAUCACACAAUGAUUUUAUACUGGUUCGCUUAUAACACAAAGCUACUCCAGUCCACCCGGCCAAGGUGAUUUCGCCUUCAACAAGGACUUAAUCCACUAAUCUUGAAAGAUUACAAACAACCCCUAAGAGAGAAGAAAAUCUCUUAGUCCUCUCAAGUCUACAGACUACAAAGAGUCACUUGAGGAAAUCAAAUAAAAAUUAGAUACAAGAUGUGUAAUCUAGAGUGCUUCUAAGAAAGCAAAUAUUACAAACUUAAGAACAAAUUUUUCACUUGAUAAGCAAAAGCUUAGUGAAAAUCUUUGAAGAACAAAGAUGUUUUUCUUGAGCGUGAUAUGAUUUCAGUAUAGUUUUGGCUAGUGAUUUCUUGUUUACUGAAAGUUGAUUUCUUCUCUUUUUAUAGGAGUUGAAGUAGAGUUGAAGUAGCGUUGAAUCUGUUGGAUAUUGAGAUGUAGUUACGCCAUUCCAUUAAUAGCUUCUGCAGUAGACUUUUUCUCUUAGAAGUGACUACUUACCACAAUUAGUAUCUUCUCUCUUGGAAGUGGAGAUUAACGUCUCUUUCUAAUUGAGGAAAUCCAUUUGCAGAACUUUAACUUGGCUUAAACGUUACUUCAUCAUGAUUAACAAUUCUGAUUAGAGUCUUUGUGUAUCUGGAGAAACUUGCUUCUGAUGUUAUCUCUUGAGAGUUCAGAUGGCGCUGAUAACUUCAGAAUUUACAGAAGGCAUUUGUUCAGAGUCAGAGCUUCUAGACUUUACUUCAUGUUCAGAUGCUUCUGAUACUUUGUAGUUUUGUCCAGAGUCAGAGCUUCUUGAAUGAGAUUCCUCUUUAGAUGCUUCUGAUACUUGAGAUUUUGCAUCUGAUCUUGUUUUGCAUCUGAUGACAUCAUCAGAUUUAUUUCUUCUUUCUUUAGAACCCUGCACACUUAGAAACUUUUCGUUAGGGUGCCAUUUUUGGUUUCAUCCUUUGUUAUCAUCAAAAUCAUGGAGUCUGUUGUAGAACAAUUUUUGUUCUUACAAUCUCCCCCUUUUUGAUGAUGACAAAACAAAUAAAAUUAUCAGAUGAAACAUGAAAAAUAUUAGAUCAGAUAGACAAAAGCUCCCCCUGAGUUAGCGCUAGGGAGUUCAGAAGUUCUUACCAGAGCUUUCCAAGCAAUAAGAUUUCUGAAAACUUUCUGCAAUUUCUUAAUUUUAAUGUUAGAGUUAUUUAAUCAGAGCUAUUAUUUAAUCAGAGCUAUUUAUAUCAGAACUAUUUCUAUAAUUGUUGCAGAAUGCUUAAGGUUUUAGACAUAAUUUUCAUCAGAGCUAUUUAAUAAUUUCUCCCCCUUUUUGGCAUAAUCAAAAAGGCAUAAAAAAAAAAAAAAAUAAUAAAGAGAAAAACAUUUCAUUAAACAGCACAAAGGCAAACAACAGUCAAAAACAUCAGAAGCAAAGAAGAAUAUCAGAGCUAACAAGAAGACAGAAGCAAAAACACAAGGCAAGCAAACACAAAAAGAAAAUCCUAA
rnacentral:lncRNA from 1 species